rnacentral:lncRNA from 1 species
UCGUUUUUGUUUGGUGAUCUAUUUUUCUUACUCCGACGCCGGAAUGACAUGUUGGCAGCGGAAUUGAUGCCGUGGCAGCCGAAAAUUGACACGUAAGCAUAUUAUGACAUGUGGCAUAAAAUAAAAUAAAAUAAAGAAAAAAAAUUCUACAUCAUCAUCAUCUUUCCCAAACCCCCAAUCUCAAACCCUAAUUCCCCUCCCCUAAUCGGCCGCCGCCUCCCCCCUGCCACCACCACCGGCGCCGCCCAAAACCGAAUCUAAAGUUGUUGCCAAAAUCAUCUGCAAAUGAAAUUGACACACCUCCAUUCACCACCACCAUCACGUACUGCAACAACCAAAUCAAACUCCAACAAAUGAAAUCAAAUCAAACUCCAAAUGAAAUUGACACACCUCCAAAUCAGCGAAUGAAAUCAGGUCUUACAGAUUCUGGUUUGCCGAUGAUUUUGGCAGACAGUUUUUUCUCAUUUCCCAUUUUUUCCUCCAAAUGCCGUCGGCGCGGGAAGGGCAUCGGCGCUUCUGAGGUCGUAGUAGAGGGUGGCAGCGGCGGAAAGCAGGAGCUGUGAGCAGAGGAAGGGGCAGGGGCAACGGAGGGACGAGAGUUGGCCUCGCCCUCUCUCUCAAGUCGUCUCUCUCUCUCAAUUUCUCAAAUAAUCUUCCCCCUCCAAAAUCAAGUCUUGCAUCUCUCAUUUUUCUGUCAAGAUUUCAGCCACCAUAAUUGGAAGACCGACCGCGUCUCGUUUGUCCUAUCCCCCUUCUCAAAUCGAUUAUGAGCCCUAGCUCUCUUCCUCCAUCUGGUUCAGUCGUCGUCGUUCUCAAAUCCGAUGCUUUGGUCGUUGUUAUGGAUUUGGGCAGAGAAGGGUACUCUAGCGUUGCCGUCGUUUUCAAAUUCCAUUGAGGCAGCAGCGGCACUAAGGUGGGGGAACGAGAGGGGGUACGGACGGCGCCAGAUUGGGGAAGGGGGAAUUAAGGUUUGGGGUGGGGGAAAGGGGAAGAAGACGAUGGGGGGAUUUUUCUUUUUUAUUUUAUGUCACAUGUCAUAAUAUGCUUAGGUGUCAAUUUCUAACUGCCACGGCAUCAAUUCCGACUGCCACCGUGUCAUUUUCGGUGUUGGGGUAAGAGAAAACCGGUCACCGGACAAAAACGAGACAAAAAUGAAAGGUUAUGUAUUUAAAAGCAGAUUUUUUUAAUUGGGAGCAAAAAUCAAUUCCGUAAAAAUAUUAUGAAUUUACAGGCAAUUAACCCAAAUAUAAAUGAAUUUUUGUAUUAAAAUUCUGUAAUGGAUUGUUUAUAACACAUCAUAAUGACCCGGAUUGUGACUGUAAUCUGAAAGACACAAAGAUCAAAAUUCAGAUAAACUUUAACACAAAAAUCUAUGUUUUACCAAAUUCUUCUAUUUAAGAAAUAAAAUCACAUUUCACACUAAUAUUAGUGGGGUUAGUUUACCCUAGAAACCAGCCACAAUCGUGGUUUAUUUGGUUAUUUGUUAUUUUCCCACAGUUCAUUCACAAUUAAAAGGUCACAGACAAAGCAAAGAAAGUCCGCACCAUUAAUGCAAAACUGGGUUUAUAUGUUAGUUUAUUCUGAUAAGGAAGGAGUAGUACAAACCACAACAUCUGAAAUCCAUAGGUAGCACCACCAAAAAUAGAAGAAAUAAAAAGGAAAAAAAAGAAAACAGUUGUAGUCUGCAACAAAGUAAAAUGUGCUUCUUCUACGAACUGGAAGGGGAGGACAUUACCGAGAGAAUGUCAGUAACAGAAGCCAUGGCUGAGAGAGCAGCUUUCACAACAUCUUGAGAGCAACCUGGUUUAACGAUGGCUCGCACCUGUAGAAUCAAAACCAACCAACUCUGUUGUUCAUAAUACUGCACAAAAAAUAGAAGUACGAGGAUCAUCACAAUUUUCGCACACACCUUCUCGAGGUAUUCUUGCAGUUCCUUGAUGCGUCCCAUGUAAUCCUGAUCUUCAACGCAGAGGAUCACGGGUCUGGCAUCAGCACCGGGGCCUUCAAACUGAAGGGGGCCGGGGUUUCUGUAGAUGUCGUCCAUCAAGAACUUGGUUGCAUUCUGUCUCAGCAACCUUGCCAAACAAAUAUCAAGCAUCCAUGUCAUGUUUCUUAUCAUGAAUAAGGAUGUGUGCGCGCGUGCGAGAGAGAGAGAGAGAUAGAGAUAGAGAGAGAGAGAGAGAGGCAUACUGGUAGGCCUUGCCCUUCAAAUCGACAGUUGCAGGAUGCAGGGCUGGUUGUCCAAGGAUUGAGGGGUUAUUACCAUACCGCCUCACUGUCAUCAUAGCCUGAGAGGUGUAAAUCACAACUUUCUUACUAUAUCUUUACGAUGUUAAGUAGCGGUUUUAUAGCAAAAUUUUGCAGGGAUAGAGAUUGUACUGUGAUAGGAGCAGCACCACACCGCCACUUAUUCACGGGGUUCUUCAAGUUGUUAACAGUCGCCAUAUAACCAUUCAACCCAGCAGCGAUUAUGUGAUAGCCGAUAUGACCAAGCACCUACAAUAACAACAUUGCUAUAAGCCCUAGCUUUAGGAAAUACUAACCAAAAUGCUAGCAUAAAAUUGAAAAUAUAAUUUACAUAAGCAUAGUCACAAUCAAACUUGGAAGGCAGUGAUCCGCGAGCCUGAUAACCGAAGAAAUGGCAAAUUGCAUUGAAUUUCUUCCCCUUGUAGGUUCCUUCUUCCUGCAAGAAGAUGCAGCAAAAUGCCAAAAUCCAUAUAAGCCAUCUUUCGAUAGUAUCAAGUACCAAAAGAAACGGGUGAGUAGAAAAUCUCAAAGUCCAGUCUUGACACACAAUGUAGGAAUAUAUAAAGCUUGAUAGCAUGAAGUAGCAAAUUCACUAACACGUCCGAAAUCAUAUAACAAAAGCUUGAGUUAGCUUAGAAUACUGUAGUGAAUAUAAAACAAAAGCAUGCAAGUUAGUUACCAGCCGUUUAUUCAUUUCUGUUUCAACAAGAUGAGCUAAGAGCUUUUCCGUCUCAAUCUGUCAAGGUGAAAGUAAGAUUAGUUGAUAAAUAAACACCUUGCCUAUAGAUACAAAAUAGACAUUUUUCCAGUACCUGAGAGAGCUGCGCAGAGUCAUCUGAUUCUGGGUGAAGAAGGAGCUAUAACACAAAAUUAACUUUCAGCAUAAAUAAAAUAUGGCAGAUAUAUUAAAGAUCCGUAUAUAACACAAGUACCUGAUUUCUAAUAAAAGGAGGCAGGAAUUCGAAUAAUGCAGAAGCCCAUGGUGAAAGUUGACCAGAAAUAUUGUCAGCAGAGACACCUUUCCUGAGUAAACUAUGAAUUUCCUGGAGAGGUACCAAAUUAUUACAGAUGCACAAUAACUUCAUAUCCAUAUCAAAUCAGAAUAUGACAAAAAAUCUCCGGCUCUAAUCAUCUCAGUUUCUUAUUUAUGUUUAUUCUUUCAUCUAUAUUUAUUUUAUGUAGGACGGAGAAAGUCAGAAGCUGAGAAAAAACUUAAGAAGCCAAAGAGCAAUCCAGUUUACCUGCAACAGAGCAUAUACUUCAGGAAUACUUUCUAUGAGCCCCUCAGGCAAUAGAACUACACCAUGGUAUUUAUCUGAAAAGAAAAAUUAAAACUUUCAGAAAGGAUUAGUUGGUGCAAACAAUGAAGAACCAACAAGAGCUCUUGACGGACCUUGUUCAGCCCUUGCUUGAACAGCAUCGCAUAAUUGUUUGGUGAUGUCAAAAAGUGUAAGCUUAGAUGCAUCCACCUCUUCCGCAAGAAUUACCUGUAUUGAAUGAUCAAACCUCUCUAAGAGACAAAGAAAUCAUACAAUAUCUUGAAGUUCAUUCUUGUAAUGGAAAGUUUCCAAUCAAACUGAUAUAAGAAAAGAAAGAAAUAAGUACAGACCAUAUUGGGAUGAGACUGAAGUGUGCACUCCAGUGCAACUUGAGAUGCCUUUCUUCCCAUGAGUCUUAUAAAAUAAUAAUACUGCACGGCAGAGAGAACAAAAUUCUUCAGAGUUUGUAAGAAAAUAUAAACCUGAUGUCGAACUAUGGACCAUAGAUCCUGUCUUUCAUAGUCAAAAGUCAGUCAUAUAUAAUCAAUAGGACCCCAGGUUCUUCACAUAAAGAGACUUCUUGGUUACAUAAUAUCAAAAUUUUCAUGCGGAUAAGAAAAGGCCCAAAAAUUAGUACAGUCACAAGUGAAAACAGGCAAGUCACUCCUGAAGGAUCUCUAGCAAUAAAAUGCAGAAUUACAUGAAGUAAGUUGCUUACCUUCUCUGCGGAGAGUGCAUCAGUGCACACAUUGCUGAUGAGCUGGGAAUUAACCUACAAUAAGUAAACAAGACUUAUAAUCAUUUCAUUUGCUUAUAGAAUGGAAAUGCAUAUUUUCUGCAUAUUUUUUGUUGGAAUUUGUAUUAAUUUGCUUGAAGAUAGAAUGAGUGAAUAAUAAGAUGACCAGAUAAGAAAAUUGUCAGGAUUGAUACAUUGGAGUGUUCAUGAGAAGAAUAAGAUGACCAGAAAGGAAACAAUACAUAACAAACUAACAUGUCAUCACAUUUUCAACCCUCAAGACAAACUGGAGAAAUCUGGAACAGAAAUUAUUACCUUACAAAUUGUGUCAAAACCUACAUUUGUCUCAACAAAAUGGUUUUUAAGAUCUCCAUUUAGAGUAACAGGAAUACCAACAACCUGCAAAGUUUAGCUAUGUUUAGAAUAAGGACAAAUAAAAGUAAUACAAAAGUCAAAACUGAACAAACUGCAUAGAUGAGAAUAAACACUAGGUGCUAAUAAUGAGGUUACAAGGCAUGGUCAGAAAAGUAAAAGCAACACUUCUAAGCAAUAUGUUUGAUGAGGCACAAGUUCAUGUAGUAGACCUUUGUUGGACACUUCCUUUCUGCAAAUGUUUCUGCAAGUUGGGCAGCAUCUGUGUUUGAUGUCACACCUUCAUAAGCACGACAAAGAAAAGUCAAGAAACUGAUAUAAAGUAUAUCAUGGAAAGUUAGGGGAAGAAAAAACAAAACAUACCCCCAAUAAUGACAAGAGCAUCCAGCUUCAAAGUUGUGCAUGCAUCAAGUGUUGCAUUGACUUGUUGAGUUGUUCUAAUUUGAUCUUUUGUCCGUCCCAACAAAUCAUAACCACCUUUACAGUAUAACUCAACAAGCAUAAGUGAUCUGAGAAUUCAACUAACAUGUCAGAUUUCCUACAUGUCAGAUUACCUUGGUUUUUGUAGGUUGCAAGAAUCUCAUCACUGAUCUCUAAAGUUUUUUGAGCAAAUAAACCUUCAGAACCACCUGGAAAAUAUGCGCAAGACUUCAACAUACUAUAUUUCAUUUAAAAAGAACACAAUCGGCCAAGAGGAGCAAGACAUGAGGAAGGACCAACAAAACUAGUAGGAAAUACAUGAUGAUUGAUGACUAACUAGUAGAUUAAGUGAUCAAAAGCAUAAUAACUAAAAAAAAAAGGACCCACAACAAAACCAAUAAAAUUAAGGAGAUUUACUCAAGCAAGCAACUGGACAAAAAUAAGGGAGCACCAUAAAUCUAACAAAAAGAGUAGACUCCUCACCCAAAAAACCGAGCAACACACUUUUCGGAUUGUGCACUUUUAGAGCUUCAAAAAGGCCCCAAAUUACAUUAUGUCCUCCGGGAGAUUGUCUACCACAAAACACCACUCCUACCCUGUGACAAGAUAUAAGAAGUUAACUCAUUGGUAAUUAGAUUUAAUGGAGGAGAAACAAAUCUACUUCAACGUAUGUAAAACGCAAUUAUUCUUUCUAAAUUCAGUGGUAAUGGAUUACAUACCGAACUGCAGGGUGAUCAGUGAUUAUUUGAGCAUCAGGAACCUUAGCCGUAGCUCUGAGGAAGUGUGCUAAACGUUGACCAUAAGUGUGAGGAAAAGACCUUUUAAUGGUGUGAGAACCAGUGGGAUCUGCAGCUGUGGUUGCAUCACCAAACUCGACACGAACUGUAGUUCCCUGUCCAAUGCAAUCAUAUGUUUUAAAAAUACAAACAGAAAUCAGCAAGCCAACCACUCUUUUCUGUCUAAGCAAUACACAUGGUGAAAAAUUGCAUGGGUAAAUUUUGAACAGAUGUGAAUCAAGAUCUUAUGGAUCUCGACUCGGUUGGUUUCGAAUUCGAAAUUUUAUACUUCGGCUAAAAAUAAUUUUUAUUCGAUUAGUAUUUAUAUAGAAAUACAAAAUUAUGAUAUUCAAUUUGAUAUUCUCACAUAUUCGACCAAAUAUAUACAUGUACACAUAUGUACAAAUACUAUAAUAUUUAUAUACUAUGUUACACCAUGCUUUGCACGACUAACACCUUUUUGUAUAUGAAGUAUUAUGACACCUAAUAAUAAUUCAUGAUUAAAAAAAGGAAAAUACAAAGAAAUUACGUCCAUAAUGGUAAAUUCUCACCGUGUCUUCAAUUUCUAAGACUAAAAUCCCUUCUUCCUCUACAAGCUACACUCUACCACUAGGGUUGUAAAAUAACUAAUCAAAUAAGUACUGUUCGAUUUGAUAUUCUAAUUUUUAUUAGUAUUCAUUACACCACUAGACCCGAUGGAUCUGAACUGAUGUAAAAAAAAAUCGAAUCUGGAUGUAGACCUAGCAAGAUCCGGUCCAGAUCCGACCCAUUGCCAUGCCUAUCUCAGAUUACCACAACCACACUGCCUAAAAAUAAGUAGGUCAGAUCACCACAGUGCCUAAACAUAAGUAGUUCAGAUCACCACACUGCCUAAAAAUAAGUAGCACAUUGCAACAACAAUCAGAAGAUGCACGAACACAUCAGCCAGUCCAAAAUAUAGGAUCUCUUUUACUAAACGUGAGCUCGUAAACUUCUCCCUAAAACUUUUGCUAGUUCUCAAUAAGUGAAUUCAAACCAAAAUUAACAGUCAAAACAAAAAACGCAACGAAACUAGGAUCGUAGGCUUUACAUAUUUUUUUUUUCUUAAGAGAGAGAGUGAGAGAGAGACCUGGAGGCAGGGCGGGAGCUGAGGUUCGUAGAGCGACCGGAGCUUCUGUAGAUCAGAGAGUUCUCUUGCUAUCCCAUAAUCGGAGUCCAUUUCUUCAGACUUCAAAAACCAGCUGCAAACUAUCUCUCGUUUUCUUCUUCUUAAUUUCUUCCCGUUUGUAUAUAUACGAAAAAGGGGCGGUAUUACCAACCGAGUCGCUGCUGCCCCUUUGUUUAAGUGUAACCACUCUACUGUUUAGGGUUUUAUAUUUUUAAUUAAAAAUAAUAAUUGGUUUAAUUGCUUAUUCUAAAAUUAAGUUAUACUAUAACAAUAAUAAUAAAUAUUUAUUAUAUAAUAAUAUUAUUAAAAUAGUAUAAUUAAUAGUGGAAAAUGAAUUAUAAAACGUAAAAUUUGAAACAGAAGAUCUCAUCCGAGUUCAAAGUAAUUUGUAAUUUUGUGUUUGCCUUUUUACUUUACAAAUUUUGUAAAGUUGAUGUAUAAAUAUUAAUGCAAUAUAUUCCUUGGCUUAAAUAAAAAUGUUUAAAUUGAGAUCUUUCCAAAGGAGCCAUAUUCUUUCAUGUUUCAGAUAUGACAUGAUCUUUCUUAUCUUUUUAUUUACUUUAUAUAAGAGCGUAGGAAAUUUUGUAUUUUUGGAGUGUAAUGGUGGUAGGUGGCUUGCACAUCGUGAAUGAAAAAUAAAUUUAGUCUGAUUAGUCACUUUUUAGGUGAGGAAAACAGCCAUCUUACCCAUAAUGCCCGAGUUCCAAUCUUUUUCACUUGAUUUCCAAGAAGUGCGAAUAAUAUUAAAUGGAAUGAUAUAGUCAAGUAUUAUUGGUAUUGGUAAAAAAAUAUUUUGUUGCAAAACAUUUCUGCAAAUGGUGUAAGAAAAUGGACCAACCGUAUUGUAAGGCUUUUCCAGAAAUACCCUUUACUUACCAACUUUAUGCUUUAGUGUACAGAUGGAAUUGUGUGAUCCGAAUAGAAUAUGCUGAUUCGUAUAUCCAUGGACCAUGUAAUAUACUAAUAUACCUUCUUCACAAAUACACUUUUUUUCGCAUAAUAAUUAUUUUACAACCUACUCACAACAAAUGCUUCGUAAAUAUCGUCAACUGACUGGGUCCCACUCCCACUAUAUUGAACUCGUUAAGUCGGUUGGAUGUGUCCCAUUCUUGAUUUUUCAACUAAUGCAACGCAAUUUCGAAAUUAGUGUGUUGCGAAAUAAGAUAAACCACUUAUUAUUCUAGUAAUCAACACAGCCAAAAAACCCAAAGAGUCAUAGUAGUUCUUGUAGGAAACCCAAAAAAAUAAAAUAAAAUUAAGAAAGAAGAAGAAGUAGUAAUAAGCAACAAAAGAAAGAGAGCAAACAAAGUGAAAACACCUGUAUUCCACUCCACUCUCUCAACCUAGAGAAAUAAGUGAUGACCAACUAGCAAGAAACCAGAUACAGUGCUGGCUGCAUCACCUCUGCUGCUAAAUAGCCUCACCUUCAUUCUUGAUCUCGAAGCUUUGCAUCUCUUGCUCAUCAUAAACGAAUGGAACAUAGAGCUGUAAUCCUCAUUUCCUGCUUCUCUUCGAGCCACGCUUCUCCGCUCUGUGUUGUUGACGUUUUGCAGAAGACUCACUUCCAGAGCUGAUAGGAGCUGGCUGGGCAGGAUUAACAGGUAUAUGAUGCCCAGGAACCCAAGCAGGGAACCCAACAGCAGGGAUUCUGCACCACACAGAAUAUACCAUUAAUAUUCAAAGCGCGAAAAAAGGCUGAAACCAUUAGGUCGGAAAGGAUCAAGUAUAUCACCACAAACACAUAAAAUGCUUCUUUCAUAAACCAACAUACAUAAGAUACUACAUAAUUCACUAUGUCCAUCACAUUCACAGCCAUUGUGUAGUUCCUUAUGAAGAUAAAGACUAGUUCAACGACGAAAAGACUUCUCAAUCACAAUGAUAGCAAGAUAAGAAACUAAGGUUUUCAGAUAGAUAAAGACUAGUUCAGUUAUGAAAACUCCUCAAUCACAUGGUGGAUACCAAGAUAUGCAGGUUUAUAGUAAUGAAAAUGCAUUCAAUGAUAAUAUAAUCUUUUUGCUGGCUCAUACAGCUACUCCGCUGCAAGACACCUCAUACAAUUUACGGAGCAAAUACGACUGCACAAAAAGGCUCCUGGGUGCUGGGAAUGAUAGUAUAGGAGUUGGAAAGUCCUUACCCAACAAGAGCACAGCAGACUCCUGCUUGGUCCUGGAUGCAUCAAAUGCCUGACCACUGUGCAACGAUAGCCGUAGAGCUUGAUUCUCAGCGAGACAGCACUGGAGCAAAAUCCCAAGCCGCUUGCAUUCUGCUUCAUAGUACUUGCUCUUCAUCUCAAGAUCGCGCACAAGCAUCUUCUUUCUUUCCCUCGAUCUAACGGCUGCAUCCCUAUUUCUCAAUUGCCUGGAAGAUAAUAUCUCAUCAACGCUUGCUAACACAAUGAGACAAACUAAAGAUGAGCCACAAAAUCUCCCCACAUGAAGAGGCAAAAUACCUCCAACACCCAACAAGGGAAAUAAAUUCUUCGUAUACAUAAUCUAAGAGGCACACUCCGGUGCAUCCAUCCUAAAUAAAUUCUAAUUUUGAUUAAAAAGCUUAAUAAACUGUAAUUGGGUAUUAUAAAUCAUAAUUGCGAAUUGGUAAACCCUAAUUGGCGUGGAUGCACCACAUCCUGAUAUACACAAGUUUUUGCCUUAAUCUAAAGCAGAGGGUUUUGAUCUAAAUAACAUUUACGAUUGAAGAAGAAAGGAACAAGUGAAUUCUUCGUAUACAUAAUCUGGUGGUAAAAUGUAAAUACAGUAUCAAUCAGCGCUUCAUCUAGAAUCACUAAGCAACAUUACCAGGAGAUGAUAAGUUCCUUAAUUCACGAACAAGUAAAGCAGAUUCUCCUUCUAUUGUAUCUAUCCAAACACAGACCAAAAACAACAUCAAAACAUUUACUAUCAAAGCUCAGAAGCAAUUACCUCUUUAGUUUCUUCGCAUCGGGAUCAUCGGCAUCACCAUCAUCGUCCGCGGCGCAAUUCUCCCCCGUCUGCAUACCAUCCCGCCAUUCUCUUGGGGCUUCUCCCGCUCUUUCUCCUCCUCGCAAUUCACAACGUCCACCAACUCUGGACUGGCCGAAGAGUCCUUGACCCGAUCCGAAUCCGACUCCGACCCGGGAAAACAAUCGAGAAGCACGUCCGCAACAAACUCAUCGGCUAAACCAUCUUUCUCAUCCGCCGGCUUGUAGGACUCAUCGUUCAAGAGAUACUGCUCUAUGUCAUCGAUCGACAGAGAACAGCCGGAAUCUGGUGACGUAGACAACCCAUCCGCCGGCGGAAGGUUGCCUAAAUCGAAGCAGAGGUCAUCGGGCAAAUUUUCCAAAAGAUUAUCCCAAUCGAUGUUCAGUUCAUCUCCCAGAACUCCGCGAUCAACCAUUAACCCUAAACUGAACAGAACAGAAUAACAACAAAUCGAAAAAGAAAAGAAAAAUGAACGUUGACGGUGGAACUGUAGAAGACGGAAUUUACAAAGAUGAAAGAGAUGAUUUCUGCAGGUUUUAUGGAGCCCGGCGGAGCGGGAGCGCAACUGCGUGGAUAUUUCUGCUGCCUUCGCGGUUAAGGAGAGGUGGCGGGUGAUCUGAACCGUCGGAUCACACUACGGAGAUUUACGUUGUAUUUAGGGGGACAAGUCAUCCAGCCAAUCAGAACGCAAGUUUAGUUCCACGUGGUUUGCUAUGUAAUUUCUUCAUUUCCACUUUUUCUAUUUACUUUUUGUUUGGUGGAGGAAUUUUUUUUACUAUUUUUCUCAUUUUAAAAUUCAAUUGAAAUUUAAUGUUUCAUUUUUAAUUAUAUUAAUUUUCUUUAAAUUUCUUUUAAUUUUAAUAUUUUAAUUUAAUUUAAUAAUUACUAAUUUGGAUUUAGUUCAUUUAAUUAAAGUAUGUAAUUAUUUUUAAUCGCUGAAUUUCUCUUUUAUUAGUUAAAUAAUUCAUUAUUAUGAUUUGUAAAUUCGAAGAUGGGUACACAAUUCCUUUUAAUUUAAAUUUUUUGAAAUAAAGUUGUAAGUCAUAAUAUUAAAUAAAAUCCAUUUUAUAAAAAAUAUUAUUAAAAUUAAAAUACUAAAUAUAACAAUGAUACAUGGUAGCACAUAAAAUUGCGUGAUACUGAAACCCACGGUCUGAGUGGGUUGAAAUGAACCAACAAGGAUUUAUUAUUGUACUUUAAUUCUGCACAUAGUUUCAUUUAUUUUGACAAUGAUUGUAGAUUGCAUUUUCUUUUGCAAUUAACCCAAUUGCCCAGAGUGUGAUAUGGACUUGGCUUCAUUUUAAUCUCUCACUAAGAUUUAACAAAAUUAAUUGUUGAGUUGUAGAUGUGGAGGCGUUACUUUUAUGUAUCAACUUCCGCAAAUACAAUUGACCUUUUAGAACUCCCUCUCUAAACAAGUUUUAAGAAAUCUAUAUAAUUUUAUUUUAUUUUUGUGAACAUAAUUACAGUAGUUUACGGUGGUAGGGGAGCUACCGUGCUAGGCCUCAUUUUUGAACCAAACAUUAUAAUUCAAGCCGAAAGUAUCAAUAGGUCUAAGUAGCUAAACUACCAAAGCACAGCAAUCCGGUCCCAAAAGACAAAUAGGACCAAAAUUUCAAUCAGCACCAAAACCAAUCCGGGUUUGACUGGAUUUUUACUAAAACAAAUUGCAUUCUAACCUGUCUUCCACUGUGUGUUGUUUGAUAGGUUUCAUUGUUAUUUGAUGUUAAUUAAAUUCCAAUCAAACACAAGUUUUUGCCUAAAAUGGAUAUGAUGAGCAUAUGCCCUCAUCUUUGAUGGCCGCGAAAAAAGUUCUGCAAAGCUAUAUCAAGAAAUCUUCACAAGGUCACAGAGCAAGUCAGCAUCGUGAUUCACAAUAGUUAUACAAACCACGACGACAAUACUGGUAAUGCGUCAAACCACAUGAAGGCAAGAGGUUAUUCUAUAGAACAAGUCAUCUGAUGUGAUUCAUUAUUGACAAACUAGAAAUGCUAAUGGUUAUAUGAACUAAUCCGGCAAUCCCACAUAAAAGGAAAUACAGCGGCAUGUUUACUGUCUAACUAGCUAAACUACCAUAGCAACACGAAAAGAAAGACAUGUCAUGCAACGUGCAAUAGAACGGACCCUUCCACAAUUUUCAUUCCUUUGAACACAAGUUAUCUGACGUGAUUCAUUUUCGACAACUACAAUACUAAUUGUUAUACAAGUUAAUCCUGCAGUCAUAAUCCCACAGGGCCACAGCAAAAGGAAGCAUAACCCUGUCUUAUCGUUGCAAAGAUACUGUCUAAUUAGCAAACCAACAAGACAUAGCAACGCGAAAAGCACCUAUGUGCCAUGGGCAAAUAGACCGGAUGCAUGUAUCAACAUAAGUGCCCAAGUAUGCACUAUAUGUAAUGAGAAAAAGAAGACUCGAACAUAAAGACCUACUUGCUUCUUUAACUAAUUCAAAAUGGAUAUGGUUGUGCACCGAGCUAAUAAAUGAAUAUGGCAUGUCUCUAACUAAUUGAUAUAUUGGACGAAUUGGUUUGCUUCUUCGGUAUCAAGCCUCAAACCAGAAAUGGCAAGUUGGCGUAAAUAAAGAGCCAUAUCAAAGAAUUGUUAUAUGUUGCAGCUGAUGCUAAGCUAGACUAAACAAUUUAGACACUAGUCCUUGUCAACAAUCUAGAUCAAUCUAUUACUUCUCAAAGGUAUCACUAAACCCAUUAACCCAAGUCUUAAAUAGGAGUAUAGAACAAAUGAAUGCAGCAAGUAGAACAGAUACAUGUACCAUGGAUAGAUAGGUUAAACACAACAAUCCUUGUUAUAUCCAUAAAAAAGCAAUACUCUUAAAAGAAGUUCUGUAUAGCUUGAUUAGUCGACUUCAUUGAAACUAUGAAGACAAAACUUCAUCAGAGUCAUUCACUCUGACCAUGGAUGCUAAGCCUAAUAUAGAAAACUUACUGUUGAAAGGUGUGUCUAAAACAAACACAAAAACACAGGAAAAACAAAUAGUUCACUAUAUUACGAGUAUUAUCAUAUGGCAUUAAAAUUUACUACCAAAUGGAGACCACGCAGAUUACAGAUUGUUCAGCCAGGGCUCAUGUUGAAAUUUCUGCAAGGUAAGUACAAAUACCCAGUUCAGAGUAAGUUGGUCUAUCAAUAAGCUUCCGGGUAUAACUAAACUUGAUUUCAGAAAAUGCGAAAAAUCUUGCAUAAGCUAUUGCAUCCUCCAUAUAUUUAUUAACUACACGUCACAAAGCUCAGAAGGCAAGGCCACACAUUUCAGGAUUUCUAGCUAAUGAAGUUUUCACCACAGUUAUAUGUUCAAUAGGGAAUUCAUAUCAUAUUCUAAUAUAACUAACCUGUAUGAGCAGAAGCAGAUAUAUUAACUUGAAUAUAGGAGAUAUCUAAAACUUGUGUCUGUGAUUGACAUAUAAGGACUUGAAAAUUGGAUAACCCAUAAUAACCAGAACAACGAGCUAAAGACAACAGUGAACAUAUAUAUUAGCAGCAUGUCAAGACCUCAUGAAAACAACCACCAAACGUGUGACGAGACUCAUUCUCGGCAAACUAGAAUGCUAAUGGUCAUAUAAUCUAAUCCCACAGAAAAAGAAACAUAAUUCUAGGUUAUAGCUGCAUGUUUACUGUCUAACUAGUUGAACUACCAAGACAUAGCAACACGAAAAGAAAGUAUGCAAUGCCGAAAAGGGAGUAUAAACAAAUACAACAAUCCCAACAGCAUCACUGUCCCUUCUCCUCCCUCUCCCGAUUCCACUGCUCAAUCCUAGCUCUACGCUCCUCGCUCCCUUCCCUCACCGGACUCCUGCUCCUCCUCGGACUCCCUCCAUGCCUUCUCCUCUCACUCCCAUACCUCCCACCAUGCCUGUCACCUCCACCACUCCUCCCACUACCACGGUGGUGAUCCCGCCUAUCAUAAUCUCUCUCUCUUCCCCUCUCAUUACUCCUCUCCCUCUCACGCUUAUGAUGCGCGGGGCUCGCACUCCUGCUGCGGCUCCUAGUUCCCCAAAACCUGCCAUGGCGGGUACCAUACAGCUUCCUCCUCAGCUCCCUACCGAUCAUCUUAACAUGCAUAAAAUUGCAGUAUCCGCCACGGUUACAGCUGUUCUCCUCAUACUGCCGGCAGGUAGCCUCGCGAAAAUCGGUGACAGGCGAGAAAUCGGCGAUAAUCGGACGGCCGGAGUAGAACCUCCCCUGCAACGCGUUGAGCGCAGCCGCCGCCUGAUCCUCCUCCUUGAACUGGACGUAGACAUUUCCGAUCAUGUGGUCGGCGAGGUUGUCGCAGACGUUGAGGCUCUCGAUUUCGCCGAAUUUGCUGAGCUCCUCGUAUAUGUCCUCGUAGAAAUCCUCGAAAUGCUCCUGGAUCUUGUCGGGGUCGAUCGGCUGGCCCUGGGCGUCGACGCCGGGGGUGAUCAUGUCGGGGCGCUGGUACAUGUUGGACAGCAGCAGCGUCGGCGAUAUGGUCGGGCGGUUGUGGAGGCGGGAGCACCGGUCGCCGUGGCGGCAGGCGCCGAUUUUGAAGUAGAACGGGCAGUUGACGCGGUCCUUCUCGGUGCCGAAAAUGGAGGCCAAGUGCUCCGCCAUUAUUUUGUGGAUCGAAGACCUCGAUAAUCCAAUUGGGGAGAGGAUUAAUGGCGGUAAAUUGAACCCGAGCGGAGAAUGAUUGAUUUUGUUAGGGUUUGAGAAAAGAAUGAAGAAAACCUAGAAAUCUAUUUGCGGGAAUAUAGAAUUAAAUUGCAUUUUGUAAGAAAAAGUAUACUCGAGUAGCGCUCGGUACAACUGUACAAGGACACCAAAGGCUUAUACCGACAAAAAUGUCACUCCUCUCAUCCACUUCUUAUUGUCCAAUUUUCUUAUUUCUUUUAUAAAUAAAAUACUGGCAAUCUUUCAGGUUAAAUUUUAUGGAUAAAUUAUAUAGAGAAAAUAAGGCUGCAUUUCUUUUGCCCCUUUUCUUAUUCCUUCUCUUAAGCCACUUCUAAAAUUAACAAGAUGGGUUUGUUUUAGUAAUCAUUUUCUUUACCAUUUUCUCCAGUGAUUUGUGAUUUUGAGUAUUUCCUAUUCUGUGAAUCAUAUUCUUUUGUGAGUUGUUUUCUAUUAAUUACUAUAAUUAAAUGAGUAAUUGCUUAAAGAAAAAAAGAAAAAAAGAAAAAAGAAAAAAAAAGAGUAACUCAAUAAAUAAAAGGAUAUUCAACAUCAUCCGAGUCCAAUUGCAAAAUACACUACAUUGUAGGAAAAAACUAGCAGAAUCACAAAUACUAUAACAGAAACUAGCUGAAAUGGCAAUAUCUGCAAGCAAACACAUUUUGCAGGGCAAAUAGAGAUUCAAAAUAAACCCAACCUCAUCAGGAAUCAUUUGGCAAGAAAUUUAAAAUAAAAGAAAAGAAUACAAUAUUGUUGGCUUACAACAACUGAAGUACAAGGAUCAAGCUUUGGAGGGAGAAGCUGAUCCAUCAACAAAUAAUACAAAGAUGUUUGCAUACAUAUACGGGAGUGAUGCAUUAUCGGGGCAGAGCACUUGAAGGAAAGUUGCGCAAGGGAUUCUCUCUCAACAGCUCCGUUUCCCUGAACAAAGAAGAAGUAGAGCCAGUAAAACAACUGAGAGUUAAAAGGAGAAGAUGACAUGUUAGUCGAACGAGUCUCAUAAUGAGAUUGCCUUCUUACCUCUUUAUAUCUUUUCCGUCACCAGGUCUAAGAUGCAAAACUGAAGACUUUUCCCCCUCCUUAUUGGGUUUAUUUUGUCUAGAAGAACAAGGAACAGAAAGUGCAACAUGCAUUAAGAUAUAUGAGCAAAUAUGAAGUUUACGCAUUAAGCAUUCUUCAACCUGUUCAGUUGGAGGUCACUAUAUACUUACUCUGUGCAUUCCUCAUCCACAAAGAUCUCAAUGCACGGGCCUGGAGCUGGCCUUGAUAUUCUCUGACCUGGUCUCUGAGGAAUCUGUGAAAAAUAACUUUUGAGUAUACAAUCUGCAAUGCGUGGAGUAGAUUAAUGUUCUGUGUUUACCUUAUUUGAUGUCCACUUGGAAGGAAUUGCAUUGUUCUCUUUAUUUCUUUCUGCACGAGCACCAAGCGAGUGCCAUGGUUUUAUACCUACUUUGGACAUUUCUGGUUGAUGACUAAAUACCGUACUAUCGCUGCUGUCUUUGAAGAUGGAGAAGGUGCUCCAGGAGCCCUAAAAGAACCGGGCAUCAUAUGUCAGAUAGUUAGUAUUUGGACCAAUACAAAUAAUCUGCUAAAAGUCAUCAUAUGAGAACUUCUACCGGUAUUACUUUAUCUUCCUGUUAGACUGUCUAGCAGGCACAUUUAAUUAAACUCAACUAAAAACGAGUUUAUUCAAAGUGUUGGCAUAAAUUAACCAAUCAAAAGCAUAAGGCAUUUUUUCUUAAUAAGGUGCAUAGAAUAAUUCAUAGUAAUCAACAAUAUCAUCUAUGCAUGAAGGCUUAAAAACAUGAAACUGCUGAGAAAUAAUAAGACUGAUUUCAGUGUCAUUUUCUACAAAUUUAAAAAAAAAUGACAAUAAAAUUCUCAAAAAACAUCCACACACACAAAUCCAGUUCUUAUUUCUAACCUGUCUGGCUUCUGUUUUUUCCUAAAAAUAUCAGAGCUCUCUGGCACCUGGUUUCCUGAAAACAAUAAGAAAGCAGCCGCAUAUUGUUAAUCACCCACAGAAUAUAAAGUUCAGUUAGUUGAUAGAAAACCUACUUGCUUGUUUAGCCAACAAAGUUCCAAAGCUUCGAGCUGAAGCCUGGUUCUCUGUCGCAUCAUCCUGCAAAUUUGAAUAGGGUCAUGUGAGUAAUCAAGCCGAUCAGACAGCAGAAGAAGGCAAAGGAAAAAGAAACGCAUAUGCAUCCACAAUGCAAAAAAUUUCCUUACAUCGGUAGCUUUUAGUUGUCUCAUUGAACGAGCAAGAAAUUUCUUGUAAGAUGCUGUCAGUUUUUCGACUGGCUCAGCCUUCCUAGUAGAGAAAUAAAAGCUCAGUUUGUCAAUUAAAAUAGAAAGAUUUCAUAGCCAAUCCUUUUUUGACAUUCAGCUAAAUUCCCAUAAAUAUCUAUUUCAGCUACCAAUCAAAAGUUCCAUGUAUAUGUCAUAGCAAAUCUGAGCAUAUCCAUGUAAGCAACAAAGAUGAAAACUGCAUCCAUCAAUAUUGUACUCCUAAUGUAGAUUGGUCUAUUAUCAUAGUAUAUCGAAGACACAGUUUCUUGAACUGUAGGAAGUUGAAAGACAAAGCAAAUUAUGCCACAACAUGAACAAAAAUCUAUUGAUAAGAGAAUAAAAGGUGCACGCCAUACUCUUACUUAGUUACUUCUCCAGCAACCAAUAUUCACUCCAAAAGUAAUUACGAGUCAUUAUAGUAUAACAUGCUUAUUUACUGAUGCCUCAGAUAUGAAAUCUCAGGGAAAUGAAAUGCCAACAAGCUUUUCAUUCCAAAAACUUUCAAGCGUUUAUAACAAACUCAAGGGGCCUGAAAGAAACAACUUACAUAGAUAGCCCACGACUGAAGUUCUCAUUCGCAGUCUUAUUUUUAUUCUUCUGUUCCAUGAGUAACGCAUAGGAAAUGUAGAAUCCCGCAUGUGUCACACCAAUGCUGUUUGCCUCCAAAAAGUUAUAUAUGACUUCAGCAUCAACACAGUUUUCAGCCUGUUUUGCCAUUUCACAAAAUUUAAUCAACACAAGCAUCUAAAGACAAUGUUUAUCUAUGAAUUGGGAACUCUCAAAAACACCUACAUAUUCUAGCCAAACUUUCAGGUACCGUAGGUCGUCCUUGUAUCGGUCAUCAUGCCAGAAGGUGCGGACACAUUGUUCGUAAAUCACGACUAAUCCUGAACAGUCUCCACCAGGUGGGAAAGCUUCCUGGACCCAUUUGAUGCACCUUUUUAAAAUUUAACUAGAAAAGAUUAGGAUAAAGACAAAGCAGAAGGAACUGACUCAGUCACUUGCCAUUUUAUUUUGAGUAGAAUAUGAUACAACCUUUGCCUAAACUUACAUUCUAUGAUUGCAAUGUGCAUCUUUAAUAAUCAACAAAAAUAGGUCAUACAAAAAAUGAAAGUUAACACACUUAAAUUUACUAAUAAUUAGUGGAUAAACAUUGAAGCAACAACAUACGACAUAUGUCUGUCGCCCGAGAUACUAAAACUAAAUCAUAUUCUUAAUAAGCUAUAAUCAGCAUGCCAAUCAUUCUUAAUAAGCUAUAAUCAGCACACCAAUCAUUAUAAUUCAAACGUACUAAAUCAUAGUCAUGAAGCAUGCGAAACAAAAUUGGGAGCACAUUCGCCGUAUAGAAACCCUAACGGCCUACCCUCACAAAGAAUAUUCAAACUCAACCAAGCUAUCUUAAGAAAUGAUUACUACUCGAUCCAGGGCUGGAGAGGGUCGUCUCCGGUAUAUUCAUCAAUGGCCUCGAUCAGCUUCCUGUUCAAUUCAAAUUCCAACUGUCAACCCUCAGGAAAAGGAAAGCGCAUUCAUCUACAUAUAAAUAAAUAAAUAACUGAAGAAACGAGCAAUGAAUUCGGAACCUUCGAUGUUGAAGCAGGGAGCUCUUGACUUGGGAAUGGGAGUUCGAUUUGAGAGCGUGGUUGAGGAGACGAACGUUGCGCCCGCGCUUCAAUGGGCGGACGUUUUCUUUAAAGAGCUCCCACUCGUUGCCGGUCUCUUCUUUCGACGCUAAGAACUCCAUCUCCGGAUCUUGCAUGAUUUCGAUAGACUCCUCCAAUUUGCUGCUCGCCAUUCUCUCUCCUUUUCUCUCCAAUUCUUUUUCUUCCUGGCUCUCUGUUAAAUCUUUUAAAUUUGAAAUGAACCCAAGAUUCUUUUCUAGCCGUUACAAGUGGCAAGUGGGAGCGGUUGAUUGGGCCUACUCUGGCUGGGCCUUUAUAAUUUCCCAUCUAAUUUAUUCACUAGCCGUUUUACUAUAGCUAGAUGAAUAUAAUAAUAAUAAAUAAAUAAAUACAUUUACCCUAUAAUUUAUAAUUCAAUAAUAAAUUAAGAUAAAAAAUCCAAAAGUUCAAACUAAUGUAUAGCCCCAAUAAGAAAACAACUUAAAAUGAACUGCCUGCCAUGUGCCAGUCCUUGUAUAUGAAGCAGUCCACAGAUGAGUGGUGCCCCUAUGAGAGCGGCGAGAGUAGAGAUAUUUAUUGCCGCUAACCAGAAAAUAAGAUGCAUAUUAUUGGUAUCAGUAGCACAUAUCAAAUGAUUUAAACUAUCUUCGAAUAUGCNCUGUUUGCCUCCAAAAAGUUAUAUAUGACUUCAGCAUCAACACAGUUUUCAGCCUGUUUUGCCAUUUCACAAAAUUUAAUCAACACAAGCAUCUAAAGACAAUGUUUAUCUAUGAAUUGGGAACUCUCAAAACACCUACAUAUUCUAGCCAAACUUUCAGGUACCGUAGGUCGUCCUUGUAUCGGUCAUCAUGCCAGAAGGUGCGGACACAUUGUUCGUAAAUCACGACUAAUCCUGAACAGUCUCCACCAGGUGGGAAAGCUUCCUGGACCCAUUUGAUGCACCUUUUUAAAUUUAACUAGAAAAGAUUAGGAUAAAGUACAAAGCAGAAGGAACUGACUCAGUCACUUGCCAUUUUUAUUUUGAGUAGAAUAUGAUACAACCUUUGCCUAAACUUACAUUCUAUGAUUGCAAUGUGCAUCUUUAAUAAUCAACAAAAAUAGGUCAUACAAAAAAUGAAAGUUAACACACUUAAAUUUACUAAUAAUUAGUGGAUAAACAUUGAAGCAACAACAUACGACAUAUGUCUGUCGCCCGAGAUACUAAAACUAAAUCAUAUUCUUAAUAAGCUAUAAUCAGCAUGCCAAUCAUUCUUAAUAAGCUAUAAUCAGCACACCAAUCAUUAUAAUUCAAACGUACUAAAUCAUAGUCAUGAAGCAUGCGAAACAAAAUUGGGAGCACAUUCGCCGUAUAGAAACCCUAACGGCCUACCCUCACAAAGAAUAUUCAAACUCAACCAAGCUAUCUUAAGAAAUGAUUACUGACUCGAUCCAGGGCUGGAGAGGGUCGUCUCCGGUAUAUUCAUCAAUGGCCUCGAUCAGCUUCCUGUUCAAUUCAAAUUCCAACUGUCAACCCUCAGGAAAAGGAAAGCGCAUUCAUCUACAUAUAAAUAAAUAAAUAACUGAAGAAACGAAGCAAAUGAAUUCGGAACCUUCGAUGUUGAAGCAGGGAGCUCUUGACUUGGGAAUGGGAGUUCGAUUUGAGAGCGUGGUUGAGGAGACGAACGUUGCGCCCGCGCUUCAAUGGGCGGACGUUUUCUUUAAAGAGCUCCCACUCGUUGCCGGUCUCUUCUUUCGACGCUAAGAACUCCAUCUCCGGAUCUUGCAUGAUUUCGAUAGACUCCUCCAAUUUGCUGCUCGCCAUUCUCUCUCCUUUUCUCUCCAAUUCUUUUUCUUCCUGGCUCUCUGUUAAAUCUUUUAAAUUUGAAAUGAACCCAAGAUUCUUUUCUAGCCGUUACAAGUGGCAAGUGGGAGCGGUUGAUUGGGCCUACUCUGGCUGGGCCUUUAUAAUUUCCGAUCGGGAGAUUCUAUUCAUAGCCCCGUUUUACUCUUUAUAGCUCCUAUAUAAAAUAAUAAUAAUAAUAAAUAAUUAUAAAUUUACUAUUUUACCCUAUAAUUUAUAAUUUCCAAUAAUUAAAUGCUAAGCAUAAAAAAUUCCACCGAUUAAGUCUUUCAAACUAAUGUAUAGCCCCAAUUAAGAAAAUCAACAAUUAAAAUGGAGAAAACUCAGCCUCCGCCAUGGCUGCCAGGUUUCCUUGUAUAUGAAGCAGAUCCACAAGGAUGCAGUGGCGGUGCCACCUAGGUGAGAGCGGCGAUGAGGAUCAGCGCGAGAUGAUUACACAGUUGCCGCUAAAGCUCCGCCCCGCUGCCAUCCCGUAGACCUUGAUGGCCGCAAUGACAACCAGGUAGAGAGUCGUUAGAUUCCCCACCACCGCAUCAGAAUUCGCCGUGGCCGCCGAAGCUUCUGGAGCAUGAAAGCUUGUUGCUGCCCGCUUUUGAGAAAGGGAGUUGGAACCAACAAUUUAAUACUUCGAUUGGGGGAAUUGGAAUUGGCAAUUAAAUGCUUUGGUUUGAAGUAUGAAAAAUGGAGUGAUGAUGAGUGGAGAUUGAAGUUUAUAAAUUUAUGAAUCAAUCCAUCACAAAAUACGGUUCUAAACUUGUAAUCAAUCAAUUUCUCUUUAAUGUAUACAUAUAUUGAUUAGUUUGUAGACGGAAAUCGGUGGAAAUUUUUUAUGCUUGCAAUUAAAUUAAAGGGGUUAUGAAUUAUAGGGUAAAAUAGUAAAUUUAUAAUUAUUUAUUAUUUUAUUUUAUAUAAGGGGCUAUAAAGAGAAAAAUUGGGGCUAUGAAUAGAAUUACCCUUUCCGAUCUAAUAUUGUUUCACUAAACUUAAAAAUAUACGAAUAGGAUGUGAAUAUUAAUCAUAAUGGACUCGAAGAUGGAUGAUCAAUUUGAUCUUGUUGUUAUAUAAUUGAGAUUGAAAAAUAAUAAGAAUAAGAUCAAACUCGAAAAAAAAUAUGAUAUCGAAGUUGAUUUGUCCCCUAAUCUUGUUUAGCAUGUUUUGUCAUUAUUUGUAUGCAUUUUGAGAAAUUUUUAGACGGUCAACCGUUAUGGAAUUGCUCCAAAUGAAGGCACGCUUAACUUUGAAUUAUUUUUUUACUUGGUCACCAGAAAAUAAGAUGCAUAUUAUUGGUAUCAGUAGCACAUAUCAAAUGAUUUAAACUAUCUUCGAAUAUGCAAUCUCAUACUUACAUAUUAUUGGAAUCCCUCUAUUUCUGGUGUAUUUUGGUUUGUUCAUUUAUCCCCCCGCUUGAAGCAUCAAUAGGAGUCACUCUUUGCUGUGUGCCUUGUGCACCAACGACUGCUCUUUACUUCUGCCUCGAGCGUCACAUAACUCUUCCUCUCUUUCUGGUGUAUUUUGGUUUGUUCAUCUACUCCUCUACUUCAAAGCACUAAUAGGAGUAGCCCUUUGUUUGUGCUUUAUGCACCGACGAUUAUUCCUUGCACACGCACCUCGUACAAUCUAAAAUAGUAACGAUAUCAUGUAUUAAUAUAAAAUUUUAAUUAUGUAUCAUACAUUAUUAUAUGUUAAUAGUAUUAGAUUAUCUUUCUUGGGGUAAAAUUAUUAUAUUAUGAGUGUCUACUAAUACGUUAGUAUCUAACUAUAUUGUGAAUAUUGAUAAUGCAAUUUAUAUGUUUAGUACCAUAAUGUAAACAUAAGUAUUGAUACUUCAGUUUAUUUUUAUUAAGGGAGACCUAUUAUUAUCUGCCAUGUACGAUUUUACAUUAUGUUAAACUUUAUAUCAUACAACUUCAAACAAAAAUAUAAAUGCAUUCUGUAAAUAUAUUUUCAACAUAAUAAUGUUAUUUCUCGAGCUAAUAAGCGAUUCAAUUUUUUUUGAUCAGGAAUAAGCGAUUCAAUUACAAGUACAAUAUAUUUAAAAAUCAAAUUUUAGGUUCGUGAUAUACCAAAAAAUGACAAACCGACCAGCCCUCCAAUCAAGUUAGACCAAUAGAUAAGCACAACCAUUUCCAUCAAAUUAUUUCAAACUACAUUCAUUCCAUAAAAAAUCCCAGGAAUACCCUUCAAAGCCAUAGCAGCCCAUAUAAUUGACCAAAGGGUAUCCACGUACUUUCAGUCACAACCCGGCCCCAUUUUCUCCCAUCCCGUCAUCAAUCAGAGCAUCCGCAAUGGGGUUACAUGAUAGCUUACAUGAUAGCCUACUUUAUUAUGGGGGACCACAUGGUGUAAAGAUGCUGCAGUGGGGUUACAUGAUAGCUUACAUGAUAGAAUUAGUUUUUGAUUUUUAUGCUUUUUACUUAAAUUUAAUUGCUCAAAUUUAAAUAACACAUUUGACUAAUAAUUAAAAUGAGGAAGAAGAAUAAUAAAUAGAAGAAAAAGAAGAAAAAAUAAAUAAAUAAAUAAAUAAAUAAAUUUGAAACAGUCAAAAUCGAAUUUUUUUUUUUUUUAAAAAGGUCGCGUGCAUUGCACGCGCCUUACACUAUUGAGAAAAUGGGCUACACGAUAGAACGUGUAGCCCUCGUGUAAGGUGCUCCCGCAAUGGUUACACGAUAGCACAUUUACACGAUAGGGCUAUCGUGUAAGGGCUAUCGUGUAACCAUUGCGGAUGCUCUCAGUUCACAUUUCUCCUUCCCUGCAACACCUACCUUUAACCAUUUACACAUUGAAAACAAGGUAAAAAUUCCUCUCACCAUUCGCUCCAAUGUCCGCCUCUCUAGCCCUAAAUUUCAGGCCGCCGCUACCUUUCGCACCACCUUCUUCUGCUUCACCUCCGCGAUCCUCCCGGCCAACGAUGGCCGGGGUUAGGUCGGAGAUGAAACUGUACAAAGGAACGCACAUGAGAGAGCAGCGGUUGACGGAGAUGAUCGAGAAGAAGGUGGCGGAGGCGACGCAAGUCUGCGGCGAGGACGAGACUUCCGACGAGUGCAAGGUGGCAUGGGACGAGGUGGAGGAGGUGAGCCAGGCAAAGGCCGAUCUCCGCCUCAAAAUCCACCAGCUCCAGCAGGAUCCGCUCGAAUACUUCUGCCAGGAGAAUCCGGAAACCGAUGAGUGCCGUGUUUAUGAGGAUUGACGAUAGCUGAUUCGCCAGUGUUCGUGUUCUCGAAUUAUCCGCGCGAUCUCUUCAUCCGCCACCUGCACAACAAUAUUUGGUAUCGUGUUAGCAUAAUCUUAAACUUCUGUUGUUGUAAAUCAUCAGUUUAUGGUUGUGAUUUCGUGGGAUCUUGUGUUAUUCAUCUACUUCUGAAUUGAAGCUGUGAGUUACGAAGUAUUGUUUCCGAGUGUUUUGCUUAAUUUUCUUUUAAUUGUUUAAUUGUGGCGUAUUUAAGAUCGUCUAAAGUUGAUCUGUUCUCAGUUUAUGGCUUUUUGGAAGAUGCCAAAAUCAUACUUAUAUUUCCUCUAUUUUGUUUAAACUAAGAAUUUUUUUUUUUUUUUUUGAGAAUCAACACGUAACCAUAAUAUUAAGAAGGGUCAACAGAUUGUCCCCUUGUCCUCUUGGGAUGGCCUAGUGGUUAGGGUGGUUGCCUGUUGUCCAAGAGGUCACAGGUUCGAGUACUCUCGGCCACAAUAACCACUAGGUGGGGUGUGUGUGUGAUUUGUAUUAUUUAUAAUGUAAUUUCAUCAAAAAAAAAAAANAAAGAAGAGUCAACAGAAACAAUCUCUCUAAGCCAAGAGGGGAACUCUGUCGUCCAACAGACGGCCCCAGAGCAACGACAAGAAAAUUUCGCUAAACUAUGAGCAGCAGUAUUAGCGUCACGAAACACAUGUUUCACAUCAAUAAGGAAGGUUUGCCUCGCAGCUUGAACAAUCUCUUUUAAAUCAUCGGGCAAACAUCGAGAAUCCUCAUCUUCACUCACCAUGACUCGCGCCGCAAGAAUCGAAUCCGUGUAAAUUUCCACCGGCGAGAUAUCAUUCUCCACACAAACGACGAUCCCUUGUAUAAUCGCCAUAAUUUCCGCCAUCAUCACACUCGAUGGCGGCUUCAAUCUUUUCGCAGCAGCCACAAUAAUCUCACCAGCAUGAUUCCGAGCGAUCAUCCCCACUCCGUACUCCUUUUUAGCAGGAUCAAACUUCGCAUCAACGUCCAGCCGAAUUCUCCCAGGUUGAGGUUUCAGCCAUUUUUUUGAUCCCAGCUCCACUCCAAGCCACUGGUCUUGUGUGUAAGUAGGUUUUGCCGCAAGGAAAGCCUCCAAAAAAGCACGACUGUCCUCCUCAAAAGGUGCUGCCAGCCCGUCCUUCUCCCCAUGUUUGGUGUUACAAAUGUAAGUCCAGUUUUUCCACAACAUGGUACACCAAAGCCAAUACUCUUCCAUCUCAAACUCCUUCCGAAUGAUCUCCGAAGGGGCUGUUUAAACUAAGAAUUAUUCCUUCAAAUCAUUGUCGCGAAACUUAUUGAUCAAUUUCAUUUUUCUUCUAAAUAAGUUGUGAAACAUCAAGAAGAAGUCGAUCAUUUUACCUCAAUUUUGAUGAUAGCGUGACAUCUUAUUAUUUUAAGCAUUAUUGUAACGUAAUUUUAUAGCUCUGAAUUCUGAAUAGGUUGAUAAUGAAAACCUAGUAGGGUUUAAUAAGAUGGAAUUGAUUUAAAUGUCCAAUUCAUCUUCUUUCUCACCUGUCGAAAAUUGAGAAUUUUGAAUUCAAGAAAAUUCGAUAAAUCUGACCAUUCUUUUUACUUUUUUUUUUUGAGAAUAUUAUUUUUACUUAUUAGUAUAAAGUUUAGCAAUUGAAGGAUCGAGAAAGGCGAUGAAUAUCAUUAAUUUUUCGUAUAAAUAAUGAAACUGUUUUUUUUUUNACACUUCGUUCAUCUCUAAUGUUUACAUUUAAUGUUAUUAAAAUCAGACGAACUUAAAAAGCUAUUUUUUUUUUCUAAAAGCUAUUUUUUUUUCUCCAACACGCUAGGGUUUCUCUAGGGUUUGAGAGAGUAGAUCUUCACCGCCGCUGGCAAGGUGAUAGGUUUUCCUUCGACGGAGGAGGCUUUGGCCAAACGUUUCCAUGGAUCCUGACGAGAUACAGAGGCUGGUGGAUCAACUUAAAUUGACGGAGGAGGCGGAUGAAGCUACGGUUGCUCUACCGGCAACUUUAACGGAAGAUUUGAAGAGUAAUACAAAGUUCUGCUUGGUGGGGAAGGUUUUCGCUGGAAAACAGAUCAAUAGAGAUCAAUUAUUACUUCAUCUCCCGAACAUUCUUUUAACACUAACAACGGAUCGAUAUGAGAUUGUGGGGCGAAAUAUUCAUUGUCAAAUUUAGUCUUUGGAUAAAAAGCAUGCUUGCAUGGAGGCCAUGGCACUUUUUCCAAGAUAUGUUGCCCUUGCUGAAAUGAGGGAUUCAGAGCCCGCGGAUGUUAAGUUCGAACUUUUACUGGGUGGAUCAAUGCCAUAAUCUCCCUUUGGCAUGUAUGCAUCCAGAGUUGUUCGAAGAUUGGAGAACAAAUUGGAACGGUUGAAGAGGUGGACUAGGGGUUGGGGGCAAUGUUGGGGAGGUUUGCGAGGGUUAGGGUCAGAUGGUCUUUAUCCCAACCUCUCAAACGGUGUGUGAGAUUGCUCCGGAUGGGGAGAUGCAAGCGCGAUUAUUUUACUUAUACGAGAAAUUACCAAUUUUUGCUUUAAAUGUGGGAAGAUAGGCAUUUGCGUUUUUGGAGGAAACGGUAACGUACAAGAGAAUUAAAGUACGGACAUGGCUCAUGGCCCGAAACCAAAUGAAUAAGCGAAAACAGCACACAUGCCAAAACAUACUCUACUUCGCAUCUAGUUCGACACAGGGGGGACUCAUUCACAAUGAAACAAUGAGAAGGGAGGGUGGAGAAGAAGAGAGAGGAGGAGGUGAGCCAACUGUGGUUAUCAGGGAGCCCAUGAGGAGGUUUCUGGGAGCUUUUUCGUGAUCUGGGAAGGAAAGGAGGGUAGCAAGGGAUGGUUUCUGAAGGGGAAGGUUAAAAAUAAGACAAAGGGGGAGAAAAGAGUUCUACUUGGAAACGAAGGGCGAGGGAGAAGAAGGGAGAGAGUGGACAGAAAGGGGUUUUGAGGGAGCUGGAGAGGGGACGAGGGGAGGUGGGAGAGGAGGAAGAGGAGGAGAGGUAUGGGGGGUGUUUCAAGGGAGUUUGGAGAGAGAAUGAGGGAGUUCAGCGGUCCUUUGAGAACGGUGAGGGAGUGCUUCAGAUUGAAGGGGGGAUGAGGCUACUUCAGUUGGAAAGAAAAGAACGGGAGUUCGCCGAGGCUGAGGAGGGACGCUCCGUUGAAGAAGAUUCCUCGCACAUGACAACUCUUUAAUGCAAUAACGGCGGAGGCUGCGGAGCAGCCCUGCCGAGCACAAUGAAUUGCGUUGUAUGGAAUGCGCGAGGGUUGGGGAAACCUCGGGCAUUCCAAGAACUUCGCCAGCUGGUGGCUGGGAAUUCCCCAAGUUUAUUAUUUAUUUCUGAGACAAAAACGUGUAGUCGCAAGUGUGAAAGAUGGAAGUUUAUUCUGAUUUUGAUGGACAUUUUGUGGUCAACCAAGAGGUUCGAGUGGGGGUUUAUGUUAUUCUGGAAAUCGCCUUUGGAUGUGAAGAUUGGUAGUUUUUCGAGUGGACAUAUUGAUUGUACGGUUACAUGGAUAAUAAAUUUGGCGCUUUACUGGAUUUUAUGGGAACCCGAUCAUCUAAGCGCUAUCACUCUUGGGAGUUACUUAGACGUCUUGCAUGGGGCGUCAAGCUGAGGUUCCUUGGUUUGUUGGUGGUGAUUUUAAUGAAAUUCUUUGUCAGAAGGAGAAGAGUGGGGGUCCGAAGAAACCUUGGCCUCAAAUGAUGGGAUUUCGAUCUGCUUUAAAUGAGUGCGGGCUGAAAUCGAUCGAUAAUGACAUGGCUUUUACCUGGAGUAAUCGAAGAGAUGGAGGUUCUUUGAUUCAGGAGAGAUUAGAUCGAUUCCUUUUGAACGAGUCUGCUGCUUUGGCGUUUGGUGAAGGGAAGGUGAGUGUUAUUGACAAUUAUGGCUCGGAUCAUAGAGCUGUUUCAAUGAAGAUGGAGGAUAAGGAGAGUGGUUUGGCAGUUGGGGGCUUUCGACGUUUUCAUUUUGAGCAGAAGUGGCUGUUUGACAAGUCUUUUGCAGCUGAUUUUUUAAUGAAUUGGAGAUUGCUUGGGGGUGAACCGAUGGAGUCCCGAUUGAUAUUGUGUCAGCAAUUCCUUGCCAAAUGGGAUAAGUCUGAAUACAAAAAUCCAUCAAAGUCUAUCAUUGAGCUGCGGAAGAAGAGAGUGAAGAUUUUAAAUGGCUUACAGCAGACUCAUACGAGUCUGGAUCUCCAGUUGAUUGACAAGGAUAUAGAGAGGUUAACUGAAGCGGAGGAAAUGCAUUGGAAACAGAGAUCCCGGGCUAACUGGUUGAGUUUAGGGGAUAGAAAUACGAAGUUCUUCCAUUCUUUCGCUUCUACUAGAAAGAAGAAGAAUACUAUAAAGAGCCUUUUAGAUCCGUUCGGUGUUGAGAAAAAGGAUGAUAAAGAAAAGGCUAGUAUCAUUGAGGAUUAUUUUCGGGAGUUGUUCACGACGGCGUCCCCAGACAAAGAGGAUUUUGUUCAUAUUACUAAGCAUAUAAAGAAGUUUUUCGAUGAGGAUGAUCGGAAGAUUCUGAAUAGCCCGUUUACUAAGGAGGAGAUAAGAAAGGCUAUAUUCCAAAUGCAUCCUCACAAAGCUCCGGGUCCGGAUGGUUUUCCUCCAUUGUUUUUUCAGAAAUUUUGGGGUGAAGUGGGAGAUGACGUCACUCGUGAGGUUCUUAGUAUUCUAAAUGGGAAGAGAAGCAUCAAAGAGUGGAAUAAAACACAUGUUGUUCUCAUUCCAAAGACCAAAAAUCCCAAGAGGGUCAGCGAGUUUCGUCCCAUAAGCUUGUGCAAUACCACCUAUAAGAUCGUGACGAAAGUGUUGGCCAAUAGACUCAAAGGGGUGAUGGGUAAAGUCAUUGAUGAGACUCAGAGUGCUUUCGUCCCGGGACGAUUGAUUUCUGACAAUAUUCUGGUUGGGUUUGAGUGUAUGCACUGGUUGAGAGGGAGGACAAGUGGUAGGGAUGGUGUUGCGGCAGCUAAGCUUGAUAUGAAGAAAGCAUAUGACCGAGUAGAGUGGGGUUUUCUCAAGGCGAUGAUGGAAGUGAUGGGUUUUCCGAUGGAGUGGAUUUCUAUUGUUAUGGACUGUGUGACUACGGUGGACUUCUCUUUCAUUAUCAAUUCAAAAGUGUUCGGGGCGGUAACUCCUUCUCGCGGGCUCAGACAGGGGUGUCCUCUAUCCCCUUUUCUUUUUGUGAUAUGUGCGCAAGGUUUGUCGUCUAUUCUCCAUCAUUUUGAAGGAAAUCGUGAGUUUGAGGGGAUUAGGGUGGCGCGCAAUUGUCCAUCUGUCUCUCAUCUUUUUUCGCGGAUGACAGUCUUCUUUUCUUCAAGGCUAAGGCUGAUAAUGCGGCUGUAAUUAGAGAAGUGUUGGAUUCCUAUGCUCGAGCCUCUGGACAAGCUGUAAAUUUGGAAAAGUCGGCAGUGAGUUUCAGUCCUAAUACUUGCCAGAGGGAUGUGGAGGAUGUGGUGGAAACGAUGGGGAUUAAGGAGACUAAGGGCCACUCAAUUUACUUGGGUUUACCUACUUUCAUUGUGAAACAGAAAAAGAUCCAAUUUGAUUAUCUUCGGGAAAGAGUUUGCAAGAAGCUAAGUUCAUGGAAAAAAAACACUUUUCGGUUGGGGAAAGAGGUUCUUCUGAAAUCUAUUAUACAAGCCAUCCCACUACACUAUGGGAUGCUUUAAAGUGCCAGAUGGAGUGAGAAGAGAUAUUGAAAAGGCGUGUGCGAACUUCUGGUGGGGAGAGUCGGAGGCUGGAAACAAGAUGCAUUGGACAUCUUGGAAGACUUUGUGUAAACAGAAGGUGAAUGGGGGAAUGGGGUUUAAGAAUUUGGAGAUUUUUAACAAAGCUCUACUCGCUAAGCAAAUUUGGCGGAUUAUCAAGUUCCCCGACACUCUUAUCGCGCGUAUUUUGAAAGGAAAAUAUUUCAGAGAUCGUGAUGUUAUGGAAGCUACUCCACCGCCUAAUGCCUCUUACUCUUGGCGAUCCAUGUGUUGGGGUAAAGAGUUACUGGCAGAGGGUUUGAAAUGGCGUAUUGGUGAUGGUACUAAGGUUCGAGCUUGUAUCGACGCUUGGAUUCCGGGGAAUGGAGAGGGUGUGGCUGCUGAAAAGAGAAUUAUUGAUGCUACUGUUAAGGUGUCUGAUCUGUUUUCACCGUCUGGUAAAUGGGAUGAUCAGAAGCUCAAGGACUUAUUCUUGGAACACGAUCGGCAGGCUAUUCUAUCUCUCGAGCUUAAGAACGAUGCUCCGGAUACUCGGUACUGGCGUUUUGAUGAGAAGGGAAGAUUCAGUGUUAAAUCGGGGUAUCUUUUGGGAGUUGGCUUCUAUUCUCCGAAUCCCUACUCGACGUCAAAGGCGGAUAGGAAUUUCUGGAAAGAGUUGUGGGGACGGAAUCUGCCUCCGAAAAUUAAAAUUUUCGUUUGGAGGUUGGUGAAUGAUUGGAUUGCUACGGAUGAGAAUUUAAAGAAACACCAUAUCCCUAUAAAUGGAAUUUGCUCUUGGUGCAAAGGGGACUGGGGGACAACUGCGCAUUGUCUGAUUUUCUGUUGUAAGGUGCGCGAGCUGUGGAAGGGAACAAUGUGGUGGAACGUCUUGAAACAAUACCGAUUCAAACCUAUGAGGGCUCUCUUUGAAUGGAUGAAUGAGAACUUAGAUGAUGAGGAGAUGAAUCUGAUUUGUGUUUGUUUAUGGUGGACGUGGAAGAGGCUAUGUGAUAUCAAGCAUGAUAAGGUGACCUCUAAGGAGUGUGAUAUGAUUGGUUUUUGUUCUCUCUUUCUGCAUAAUUUCCAGGAAGCUCGACGCUUGAGCAACGUGGAGCAGCGUCUACUUCCUAAGGAAGGCGACAGGCGAUGGGUUCCUCCACGAAGAAACUAUCUGAGGCUGGAUACGGAUGUCGCGAGAAGGGAUGGAGGAAGUGCAGCUGGUGUGGGUUUGGUUGUCCGAAACUGGAGAGGAGAACCGGUUUUAGCUGUGGCGCAGAGAAUUGGAUGUACAACCACCACGUUAAUGGGGGAACUUCAAGCUAUUCUUAUCGGUAUCGGACAUUGCCUUCAGCGGGAGUUGGGACCGAUCAUGGUUUUCUCGGAUUCUUUGCUAGCAGUUCAUGUGAUUAAAGAGGAUCAAGUGAGUUCGGAUUCUCUUUGCGAAGAUCUCUAUUCUGUUUUUUCUAGUGCUAAGGAGGCUUGUGUGGUGGAUUUUUGCCACGUUCGUAGAGAAGCUAAUAGUGUAGCUCAUUCUUUAGCGAAUUUCGCUAUUUCGUGUUUUGAUGUAAAGAUUUGGGAGUCGGAUUUCCCGUCCUGGCUUCUCGACUUGAUUCAUCGGGAUCAAAGCUAAUAUAUAUCUUUGCUUUCCCCUCAAAAAAAAAAAAAUGUUAUAUUCCACUGAACGUGGCAUUAUGAAAGCCGCUUGCAAAAAGAAAAUUGAGAAAAGAAAAUCGAAAAUAGAAAAUAAAAAUAAAGAAAUGGAGAAAAAGAAAAAAGGAAGACAAAACUAGUGGCUGAGGAGAGAACUAACCAUCGAGAUCAAAAAAUCCAUUAAACGGCUAACUGCUGCAAAUUCCUCCCGGGAGGCUUGACCGGAGCCGUCGUAGCCAUGUCUCUGCUCCGCCCUCCGCCGCCGCUCCUCCGCUGCGAACGUGCGGCUCUAACUUUUUCGAGCUUCCACGGUAUCAACUCAUUCUCCCGCUUUAAAGCUUCAUGGCAAGAGGUAGCCACACUGGCAAACUAAUCCCUAAUUCCCUAGGCUUGUAUAACCUUCUCUCACUCUAAAGAUUCCGUUGGUGUGAAGGUUGCCGGAGUCGUUGUGUUCUCCGCGAUUCCUUUCACGGCGGUGAAAGCGAUUGCCAACAGCCCGGUCGGGGAGGAGCUCCAGAGGCGAAUGGAGGAGAAGAAGAAGCUCUUUAAGGACAACGCUUCGAAGCUGAAGGCGCUCUCCAACAAGGCUAGAAUGGAGAGGUAGUCAUCCAAUUAAUCUCUACUUGCAAUUGAAAUUAUGACACACGAUCUCAAUCACUCCCUAAUUUUGAUACAAUUUUCUGGUGAUGCUUUGUAGAUUUUCUAUUUACUACAGUUCUUCUACAUAUGCCUUUACUCUUCCUUUUAGGAGGUUCUUACCUUGGGUGAUAAUAGUGUAGACAGGUAAAAUUAAGUAUAGGGUAAUCUGCCAAAAUUUUGAUGGACUGAACAAGUUUUUACUUCUCAAUCUUAUGUAUCUGUCAAUCUAAUCUACCAACCGGACUAAACGUGCCCAAAGAAUUGAGAAAUUGAAAUUCUCUGGUUUUUCAGCGUGUGGUAUGGGGAGGAUCGCCCCCGUUGGCUUGGUCCGAUCUCAUAUGAGUAUCCUACCUAUCUCACCGGCGAGUUGCCUGGGGAUUAUGGUUUUGAUAUUGCUGGUUUGAGCCAGGACCCUGUGGCACUGCAGAGAUAUUUUAAGUGAGUACUCUUCAUCAAGAAUCAAUAUUUACUUUGUUGCAACCAAUGCUAAGAGGGUGAUUGAUUAAGCUUAUUUUAGACAAAUGUUUCAAAAGUUUAUAAGAUUUAAUGCUUGAAGAGUUGUCAAUGCAUUUGGAUAAUUAAAUUUAAAGUUAAGAGGGAGAGAGAGAGUCAAAGAGAAAUGAAAUUGGAAUGGUAUAUGUUGGAAAUAACACAUCAUUGUCGAGUUAUUUAUAUAACACGAUUAUUACUAUGUAGUUUUGAAGUUCUACAUGCAAGGUGGGCUAUGCUUGCUGCUCUCGGUGCUUUAAUUCCAGAGAUAUUAGAUCUGAUAGGAGCAUUUCAUUUCGUGGAACCUGUUUGGUGGCGAGUGGGCUACUCAAAGCUUAAGGUUAGUAUGUCGUGCCUCUUUAAUCAUCCCAUAGCCUCUUAUGUGAUGCGAGUGGAAUACACAUCAUGUAUUCAUUUGUAUAUCAGUUCUGAAGAUUGAUGUCCAAAGCAGUCCUUGAUGAGAUCUUAUAGAACCAUUUCCUUGCCACUAGGGGAAGUUUGUAGUUGAGGUUCAAAGUAGUGAAGCUAUGUAUCCUACCAACUUAUAUUCUAAUAAAGAUUGGGUGAUCACAACUUAGAUCUAAAGAUACAUGGAAUCCCCCUAAAUGCUCCUCUAUAUACUUAGUUGAUCUACGAAACAAAAGAUAAGUCGUGAUAAGCAUAAUCGGUCACAAGUAAUUUGCAACAUUGCCGCUGAAAACAGCAGACCUUCCCCACUCUAAGCUCCAAUUUUCACAUAUGAUUUCUUACUACUGAAAAAUCCCAGUUGAAUAAUUGUUCAAGGUAGGUUGUCACACAAACUUACUCCUUUUCGUGUUUGAAUCGUCGACCAGGGCGACACACUAGACUACCUCGGCAUCCCCGGCCUCCAUUUAGCUGGAAGUCAAGGAGUCCUCAUCAUAGCCAUAUGUCAAGCCCUUCUCAUGGUACUCUUUCUAUAAUAAUAUCCUCUACAAGCUACAUUUAUGUUAGUACUUUUUUUUGCGGUAUGAAUAUAUGCUUAAAUAUUAGGCCUUCCAAGCGCAGGUUGGUCCAGAGUAUGCGCGUUACUGUGGCAUCGAGGCCUUGGAGCCUUUAGGCAUAUAUCUACCAGGGGACAUCAAUUAUCCAGGAGGUGCGCUUUUCGACCCCUUGAAUCUGUCCCAAGAUCCCGUUGCAUUCGAGGAACUGAAAAUCAAAGAGAUCAAAAAUGGGCGCCUAGCCAUGGUUGCAUGGUUAGGUUUUUAUGCUCAAGCUGCUCUAACUGGUAAAGGACCUGUACAUAACCUUCUUGACCAUAUUUCUGAUCCUUUCCACUAUAAUCUGCUUUCAGCUCUAAAAACUAUGUAGAUUUUGUACAUGAUUUGUGUCUUGUAAAUUCUGUAUUCAUCCUAUUUUAAUUUCUAUACCUGCAAUUGUCUUCUUUCUGCAUAUGCUUUGCAUUUGGAAUGGAGCAAAUUUGUAUCCAUAGUGUUAGGAUUACAAUAACUAGAAUUAUAAGAAGGCUUCUAUAUUACUAAACUAAAUUAACCUUUCAAUUGAAAUGUACGUAUGACGUAUUUACCGUUAGACGUCUGGCUUUGUGCCUUUUGGGAUUUGUAGUUUAAAACAGCAUUUUAGACGUCUUUCCUCUUUUUCAAUUCAUUUUUAUAUUUCUAUCGAUAUUUUUUCAAAUUGGUAAUUCAAAUUUUUCAAAAGAAACCCCUAAAACAAUGAAUUUCUUUUUCCUUUACUCUUUUUGUUGAGCUCUAAAAACAUUUCAAAGUAAUUAAUAAAUAUACUUGCGGAAAACUGGAGGAGAUGUGCCAAAUUUCAUGUAUAGAGUUAUUGCAUACUUAAAAUAAACAAAGAGCUAACUAUGUAUACAUAAAAUACGAAAUAAAAUCUUGUUUUGAAUUAAAAGAUUCAUAAAGAACAAGGCAUAUGCUUAACCAGAUGAACAUAAGGAAACUCAAAAGCUUCUAACAUCUUAAAAGAUGGAGUACUAUUAUUUGUUCUAACAAUAGCAUUAACUGAUAAAGACAAACUUGUAGAGACAAAAGAUAAAGACAAACUUGGGAAAUAAAUGAACAUGAAUUACUCAAUAACAAAAUUUGUAGCAGGGGUACAAAACAGCACACCAUUAAUCCCAAGCUUCUAGUUUUCACACCAUGAGGUCUUUGAAGUAAUGCCAAAAAGAAAUUUGAAAUUCAAUUGCACAUAAAUUUUGAUAAUACUCCAAUGGUGGGUUUAAAUACCGCGGAAAAAGUUAGACUUUGAUGGCGUACUUUCUCAAGGGGAAGUACAUUUCUUUCUUCUUCUGCUUUUCUGUCUUCAAAGAAGCCUGAAAAUGGUAGCAAAACCAAAUCAAACAGUAAGAAUCGGGGUCUGAAUUAGGCUGAAUACGGUUAAGAUAAGAACUCAUGGAAAAGGAUAAUCAACUUGGGUGGGGUGCAGAAAUUAAUGAUAAAAGAGAUGAACAAUUCCUUUUGCUAACAUAGGAGUGCAACUAUAUAAUAAUGCAGCAAUUUCAGUAACUAGCAUUUCAUGACUUCUUUGGAAACCAAAGCAACACAAAAGACCUGGUCAUAACUUCCCAAGACUACAAAAUGACACCAAAAUCAUGAAAAUUAGGGUUCAUCAAUCCCAAUUAGAGUUUAUUAAUAUAACGUUUUGGGGCUUAUUAGUCACUAUUGGGAUUUAAUUAUCUUUUGGAAGACAAGAUUGUAGAAAUAAAGAUUAAAUUCAUAAAUUCAUUCUUUAUGUAUUAUUGGAUGCACAACAAACAAACCUAUCGAUUCAACAGAAACAACAGUAUCAUACCCAUAUCAAAGAUCUAAACAUGAAUAAUUCUCUACUUAAACCAAAAGGGAUAUGUAUGAUAUUAAGCUAUAUAGGCCAUACAUGAUAGAAUAAACUCAAUUAAUCAAGCCGCCAAUAGAAUUAAUAAAAAGAACACAUCAAAUUUUUUUUAAGUAAUACCUGGUGCUUUGUUAGGCGGCGGCGGAUGGCGCGCGUCUUCUUGGGGCGGAGAUCGAGGGGCAAGUACUUCUUGUUUUUGUAGGCUUCGCGCAGAGCGGACUUCUGCUUCUGCGAGAUAACGGUGAGCACCUGCGCGAUGGACAGCCUUACAACCUUGAUUUUGGAGAGCUUGUUGGGUGCGCCGCCGGUGACUUUGGCCACCCGCAGCAACGCCAGCUCCGCCUUAAGAUCCUUCAGCUGCGCCAGCAGCUCCGUCUUGUUCUUCUGCCGAAGCUCGUGCACCUUGAUCCGAGCUACAAAAGCAUAACGAUCAGCACAUCAAUAUGCAGAAAGAAAAACACAAAAAAGUUAACUGUGAUCCAUUUUCCUUCGAAAUUGGAGCGCGAAAUCGAAUCCUUACCCAUUUCUUGUCUUGUUUUCUCUGUUUCGGCAGGAGAGCUGCGGCGGAAGUGACGAGCGAUGUGUGGUUCAGCUUCAGCAAUUUCAAACCCUAAUUAUAUUUUUAUGCGUCGAUUUGGGCUAAAUUUUUUCUAUACAGAUGGGCCUCUAAACCCCACAAAUGGCCCAAUCAUAUUCCUCAUGAAAUUUCUCUCUCCUUUAAUAUUUUGCAUUAAGAUGAUUUUUUUAUAUAUUUAUUUUGAUUUUAAUAUACUCCAAUGUCAUAAAUAUUUUAUAAAUUGCAUAUUCAAAGCUCGAUUUAUUUAUUUUUUAUUUAACUUCAGAUAAUUAUUAACAAGAAAAAAUUGAAACUCUAAUUUAUAAAAUUAAUAAUUUCAAGUUGAAACUCUAAUUUCUGUCAAAUUAUGAGUAAAGUUUUAAAAAUUGGUAAAUAUCAUUUUAAACCCCAAACUAUUUUCGCGCUAUCAAUUAUAUACUGAACUAUCGAAAAUAAUUUUUUAAACCUUGAACUAUUAAUUUUGUAUCAAUUAUAUCAUUCGUUCAUUUUUUUAGCUUCAAAAAUUUGACGUGGCUCACAGGAUACCACAAUGUAUUUAGAUAUAAAACGGCGUUAUUAUAUGCAUUACUCAUUAAAAAUUCAAAGGAUGAAAAAUGAAUAAAGGGUACAAUUGAUACAUAAUUGAUAGUUUAAGAUUUAAAAAAUUAUUUUCAAUAGUUCAGGAUAUAAUUGAUAAUGCGAAAAUAGUUUAGGGUUUAAAGUGAUAUUUACCCUAAAAUCAAAAUAAAUAUAUAAAACAAAAUAAAUUCUAACUUAGUCUAAAUAUGCAAUUUAUAAAAUAUUUAUGACAUAGGAGUAUUUCUCAUUGAUAAGUAGGGGCGGAGCUGGGGGGCUGGAGCCCCUCCCAAAUUUUGAGAUUUAAAAAAAAAAAAUAAAUAUAUAUAUAUAUAUAUAUAUGUGUGUGUGUGUGUGUGUGUGUGUGUGUUUGUACUUAUUAUAAAAGAAUUUUAUUUACGAGAGAGUAUUAGGUUGUUAUAUUCCCUCAUAUAUACUUAAUUUAAGGAUAAUUGUGUUACUUAAAACUAUAUAAUCUAUGAAAAAUAUUGAUUGUUAUUAUUACUAUUUGCUUGUCUUUUAAUAGAAAAUGCCUAAAAUGUAUGGAAUGCCCCCCAAAAAAAAGUUUGCUAUUAUACUAUUAUGCUUGUCUUUAUUACUAUUGAUUCUAACUUGUAAUGUAUUGAAACUAUAUAAUUUAUGAACAUGUUAUUUGUUAUUAUUACUAUUAUGCUUGUCUUUUAAAAAAAAUUGUAGUACUCCAUAAUGAAACUACAUAAUCUAUUAAAAUGUUGUUCGUUAUUAUUACUAUUAUGCUCGUAUUUCAAUAAAAAAUGUCUUAAAUAUACGGAAUGCCCAAAAAAAUUUCUUAGGGCUACCGCCCCCGUACAAGUUCAGCCCUCCUCGAACUUAAUUCCUGGCUCAGGCCAUGUUGAUAAGUACUAAAUGCGUACUAAAAUUUGCCCCCGUACAAGUUCAGCCCCAAUCAAUUUUAUUUUAUUUUAUUUAUUGUUAUUUUGGUAUAUAUAUUGCCAUAAAAUUUGCUAUACCUAUUCGAAAUGCGUACUAAAUGAACUUUAUUUUUGGGCAAUAAUAUGCUAAUAACGUAGAAGACAGUGUCGACAUACAUACUAAUAAGUGAAAUCAACGUUUCAUUGUGAAAUAAUUUGUGCUUGGGGAUAAAAAAAUAUGAACAACAUUUUUUUUUUAAGUGAAAAGUGCGAAAAGCAUACAUACACCUCUUUUUAAUCUACGUUUUGAAAAAUAAUACUAGAAGAUUUCAUUUUAUAAUAUAUAAUCACAAGUGAGCUAGGGAAAUUAAUCUUCGCUAAUAAGUAAUGCUAAUCUGGCGAGUUGCAGAUAUAAAUCUUUACACAUAAGUAAUGCUCAUUCCGCACGUACAAAUUCUUACUAAUCGGUACAUAAUUUAUUUAAUGAUAGUGUUAUUUUUUUAGGACGUAAAAGAAACAAUAUGGCACUCAUUUCAGUAACAUUUAAUUCAUGCGUGGACUUUAUAUUCUUUUGUCAGAUUGGUGCUGAAUAGAUUUAAUUCCAAUUUGAUAGAAGCUAUAGUCAUUAUUAGAUGAAUAAAUAAAUUAUGCAGGAAAAAUAAUAGCACGUGAUGGAAAUAUUGCACGCAAUGAAACUACUAUUCACAUAAAAUGAAAAUACUAUCCACACACAAGUUUGAACCAAAAUUUCUCAUAAAUAAGAAUUUUUUGGUAUCUCAACUUUAUUAUUUGAGCUAGGCUUCAUUAACAUUACCUAAUAACUAAUAAAAAUAUCUUAAAGCAUGAUAAUUUCAAUAAAAUAUACAAAUUGUCUGAAAACUAAUAAAAAUAUUUCUGACGAGUUAUUUUAAACUCUCCAAAGAUUCGACACCUCAUUUAUUUUUUAAUAAUGUGUCAUGUUAUUUAUAAAUAUUAGAAUUAAAAAUCCAUAUCAUAGGCCAACGAAACACAUCACAAUUUCAUCAUCGAACAACAUCAUCUAUUAGUUAGUUUUGAGAUAAUUUCUUUUAUUUUACUGUAAUUUCCAUUAGUUCGUAGUAUUUUAUUAAAUGAAUAAUAGUACUCCAGUUUAUUAAACUGUAGCCUUGUAUAUAUCGAGUUUUAGCUUUUUUAUAUUUAAAAAUAAAUCAUAAUUAAAGCUAGAUGCAACAAAAUACUCUAUUAUGGUGCAUCAUACAAAAUACUAGCUAAGUAAGCUAACAAUAAGGCAAAAAUUUGCAUGCAGAAGUCCAAAAAUCAAUCUAAAAUAUUACUAUGAUUUAGUAAACCCUUAUUAUUAUUAUUAUUAGAACGAUCCUCGAAACUAAUUAAUAUGAUAGUAGUCAAAUUGUCAGAACAAUUGAUACUGGAAAACCCAAAUCAUUUUAAAUAAUAAAUUGAACGUUGAAACCUCUGCCGCCGCAGAAAAAUUGGUAAGUUAUUAAACCACUAAUGGUUUAUUAAUUAAUUAAUUAAAGGGUGACAAACAGGAUGCUUAAACUAAUUAAUUAAGGUCGGGUAGAAUUAGACAUAUACAUUAAUCCAGAUUCCCCAAUGCAAAUAUCAACACAUUGUAGGUUGUUGUUCGGACAAUGUAUUAAUUGUGCAUCUAGCUUUAUCAUAUGUUCACCGCCCAAUUUAUUUUUUUAAAACUCUCAAUACAUGAAAUUAAUUGAUUAGCUUAGCUGACAAUUAUAUUUCUGUCAAUUUUAAUAUUUAAAACUGCUAACCAGCCGCUGGCAUGUCGCCAAAAAACUCUUAUUUUGUUUCUAGUUACUACACCUUUUUAUAUUAUAUAUUUCCCUCUAGAUUAUUUAAAAAAUGAAUAUACGUGCGCAAUUAGAAUAUGAUCUACAAUAAUACAUGUUGAUAUAUAGUUUUAUUGAUGAUGUUGAGACUUGAUACACAUCAAAUAAAGGAGACAUACCAACUAGUCAUUAAUGGUACAUGUUGAUAUCCAUAUAUUUUGAUUCGAAGCAAUGCUUAUAAUUGUUUAUAUUUUAACGUCAUGUAGUUUACCUAAUUAGAGAAAUCAUAUAUAUGCGACAAAUUUAGCUUAAAAUAUCUCAUUAUCAGAUUUAUAAACUUGUAUUCACCAAUUCAUCGAGCAAAAAGAUAGUGAAUAGACAUCGUAUGUUGUGAUCUUUGACAAUAAAUUUAUCCAUUUAAAUGAUUUCAUUAUGGGUCACCCGUAAAGGGAUUUAAAAUAUUAUUGGUAUUUAUAUUAAUUGUUCUUAAUAACUAUUUUUCAACGUUCCGUAAAUUGCAUUACUUAAAAAAAAGUUGUGCAUAUAUAUUACUUGCAGAAAUCAUAUUAUAGUCCAUCUAUUUGGACCAAAGUAUAAAUAAUAGAAGCAAGCAUAUCAAUUAUGAAGAUCCGUCAAAAUUAUGAAUUAAUUCUUAACAAAAUUAAAUUGAGCUGAUAAAUAAUUGAAGAUCGUGGUAAGGGACCUCUAUUUUGUAACAUUUGGAUCCUAGACCUUGACAUUUGAUUGGUUCCUCUUCAGGGAACAAUCACAUCUCAUAUUUCAACACCGUUGAUUAAUUUGUUUGUGUAGAUUUUUUUUUUUUUUAUGAGAACAUAUAGAUUAUGUUGUUUAAUUAAAAUAUACUCCUUCCGUCCCCAAAAUAAGUUCCUCUUUGGGGACGGCACGAGUUUUAAGGAAAAUGGUAAAGUGUAUUGAUAAUGGAGAAAAAUAUGUUAUAAUUAGUAUUGAGAGUGGUGAAAAAGUGAAAAGUAAAAAUAAAUAAAGUAGAGUAUUAUUAGUGGUGGGGUAGUUGUCCAAAAAUAGAAAGAAAGAAAUAGGAACUUAUUUGGGAGACGUCCCAAAAUGGAAAAAGAUGAACUUAUUUAAGAGACGGAGGAAAUAUAUAUGAUAAAAAAUUGUUAACUGUAUUUGGAUUUGGAACCACGAAAGGCUCGGCCGUCCAAGGACAGUGGUUAAGCCUUCCUUGAAUGCACCUAUCUUAGAUAAUGUCACCUUAGAUUACCCCUAAAUGCUAGUAUUAAAUCUAAUACUAUAUUAUUAAAAUAUUUUACUCAUAUUAUAUAUUUUUUCUGUCUUUCAUUGCUCUAUUGGAAAACGGCCUGCAAAAUGAAAUUUACAUGGAAACGUUAUGAAUGUUUUUUUUUUUUUUUUGGUUCAGGAUAACUUAGAGCCUCUGUUCACUCUAGGGCCCUAGGCUCACCAAUACUUAGCAACACAAAUAUUAUUAGAGUAGUGCUAUUUGGACAAAAUUUGUCCGAAUAAAAACAAGGUUAAAUUUUUUUAAAAAUUAAUUUAUCUAUAAAUUUUGAUUCAAGUUUAAAAGGAUUUAGUUAGUUUUAUUGUUUUUUCCAUAUUGUAAUUUUUUCGUAUUUUUUUAAUAAUUUUUUCUAUUUUUUGUUAUUUUAUUUGUAGUUUGUGUACUUUAAAAAUAAUAAUAAUAAUUAAAAAGGUUAUUAAAAAAUUACAAUAUAAAGAAAAUAAUAAAACUGGUUAAAUCCUAUUUUAUUUUGAACCAAAAUUUUUAAAUAAAUUUAUUUUAUAAAAUAUUUAAUUAUAUUUUGUUCGGAUAAAUUAUUGAUAUAAUUAUUUAUUUAUUAUUAUUAUUAUUAUUAUUAUUAUUAUUAUUAUUAUUAUUGGGAAGGGAGAUUUGAAUCCGUACGUAUCCUUGCCACUCACUUAUAUUACAAUUAACAUGAGGCGAUUUUUAUAUUACAAUUAAGACCAUAUUUUGACUGCUAUGAGAUCAAAAUUAAUGUGUUUGAUUAAUUAUGAUGUUUUUUAUUAUACAUAUAACUUAUCAACAUUGUAUUUUUGUUGAAAUGUAUUACAUUAUCUACAAAAUAUAUAAAUAUAUGAUAUGAGGGUGAAUUAAUGUAUUUAAUUAGUCCAAUAAUAAAUUAUGAUAUAACAUAAUUAUAUAUUGUAUCAAUCUCACAUAUCUAUAAAUUCACGCUCUUAUCACGCGUAUAAAAUGAAACCUUAAUGAUGAUUUAAUUGAUGGUCAUUUUUUUGAUGGCUAAGCUUUAAGUAAAAUAAAUAAAUCGUACACACCGGUCAUUAUCAGAAAAAUAAAAGUUCACUCUGCAUUAAUACCUCAAUCAAAGAAUGGGAAUUUUAAUAUUGAAGAUUUUUGUUUGAUCACUCAAGUGAAUAUGCUUCACACAAAUGGUACAACUACAUUAAUUAAUAAACUCAAGAUUGUAAUCUAGACGUGCAGAUCCUUAUAAACACAAACGUUUAAAACUCGAGCAUUUGUCUAACAUAGGUUGCAUCCUAUAAAUGAUUAGGGCAGAUGCGACGAAUUAGAAGAUAUUUAGAACGUAACAAGUGGUGAAACAUUAAUUAGCCAAGUUUACUACAAUGAUGAUAUUAUGAGUUUGGUUCCCAGAAGUAAUUAAAUUGUAUAUAUAUAUAUAUGUGGAUGAUUUUAGUUUUUAAAUGUAUUUCUACUAAUAGGCUAUAUAAAAUAAAUUAUGAUAUACUUCAUCCGUCCACGAAAGAACUUCCUACUUUUUUUUUUUUUUGGAUGUUCACAAAUGAAUUUUCUAUCUAUUUUUGGACUACACCCCACUGUAUUAAUUAUUUAUUCUUACUUUUUAUUUUUUCACCAUUCUCAAUAUUAAUUACAACAGUUUUUCUCCGCUUUCAAACAUCCAACAACCUUUUCUUCACUCUCAAUACAAUCAAUAAUUUUUUUUCUUAAAAUUUGUGGCACUUCCUCCUAGGAAGAUCUUUCGUGAACGGAGAGAGUAUCUGUUUAAUUAAAAUUGUACUUCAUUCGUCUCAUUAUAAAUGUCUCAUUACUUUUGGACACGAAAAUUAAAAAUGUGCAGAAAAUAAAUAAAGUGAGUUGAUGUAAAUUAUUUAAAUAUUAGCUAUAGAGAGAGAAUAUAUUACCAAAAAAGAAAUGAAACAUAUAUAAUGAGAUAUCUCAUUAUAGAACGUGGAAUAUUUAUAAUGGGACGGAUGAAGUAAAUAGAUAGCAUGAUUACAAAAACUUGCAAAAACCAAGUUCACGCAUACAAGCAUCGUCAAUAAAUAAAUACUUAUAAAAAACUUAAUCAUAUAUACCAUUAAUUACCAUGUAAAAUAACGGAUAAAUGAAAAAGAUAAAAUAAAACCUCAUACUACAAAGCUUCAAAUAAAAAAAAAGCACUUUAUGUUUUCAUUUAAUGAGAGAACAAUCCACUUUGCAAAAACAAUGGGAUACGUAAAGCUAAUUUUGAUAUGAUUUUCUUUUUUAUGUGGUCGGUGGUACAUGAAUUGUUAUUUUGCAGUGCUCAUUAGAUAAAUAAAAUAUGAGGUGGUGUCCCGAGUGCUAUCGUGCACUCGGGUGCAAAAUGAUACUAACACUUACACUAAAUGACACUAGCACCAACAUUAUUUUAAAAUGACAUAAACACUAUUUUAUUUUACAAAUGACACUAUUAUGUUAUAUAAAUAACAUCGUCACGAAAUGACACUAACACUAUAUUGAAAUGACACUAACAUUCAAUAACACUAUUAUGUUAUCGAAAUAACACUGUACACCCGGGUGCCGAUAACAACAAUGUACACCCGCGGCACCCGGGUGCACAGGAGAAUUUGUGAUAAAUUAUUAGAAAAUUAGCUUUUGAAAGGUACAGGAGAGUAAACCAAACAUGGAUGAGAAUUAUAUGAACAUAAUACAACUGAAAUUAGUUGUUAAAUGUUCAAUUUAAAAAAUAUUGGUGACAUGUUUGAGAGGCUUUACUUAUAAAAUACUCACUCAAAUGUAAUUUUGAGAGGCUUUAGCUUAUAAAAUACUCACAGCAUCAUGAAGAGGGUGUUUCGAUGAGCUUAUAAGUUGUUUAAGAGCUUAUAAAUUAAUUCAAAGUGUUUGGCAAAAUAAACUCUUAAAGAAUUUAUAAACUGUAAAAAUAAGCUCUCCAAAAAAUAAAUUCCUUUAAGCAAUACUCAUUUUACAAAAAUAACUUAAUUAUGAUUUUUUUUAUUUAUAGGGUUAAUUGCAUAUAAUAUUACAAACUUUGCCCGAAAUUCAUUUUCUCCACGAUCUUUAAAAAUUUCAUUUUUUAUAAAAUACUUUGACAUUUGUUCAAUUUCUCCAUGAUUUUUUUUUCUCAUGACCAGAAAAAUGACAUAGCAGUGGCGUGGAUUUAAUUUUACACGUAACACUGGCGUAGAAUAUAUAUGAAUUUUAAAUUACACAAAUAAUAUUAAAUCAUAAUAAAAAGCCCUAAUUUCUUUUAAUUUCUCAUUUUUAUCAGGCAAAAGGAAAUAAAGGAUUAUUUUUUGCGCUAGAAAAAAAACGAUUGCUUUCCUUUCCACCACCUCUGUCGAAGGGUUCCUCUCCAGACCAGUGUGGAAAUCUUUGUGUCGAGGUCUUCCAAACAGUGGCGCCAUUGCCGUGAUUUGUGAUGCCUUUUUCAACUACUCACUUAGUGCUCGGCACUGUAGGUGACCGGAAGCUUCCACUUGCACUGAUUGCUAAAACGAGGGUUUUAAUGUUUAAAUUGAAACGCAUCGUUCAAUUUAUCGAAAUGGCGUGUGCCGGCGAGCCACAUCAGUGCCACGUCGAUUCCAAUUUGAGGGUAAAAUUAAAAUCGUGGGAAUAUUGAACAAAUAUCAAAGUAUUUGAUAAAAAAUGGAAUUUUUAAAGAUCGUGGGAAAAAUGAAUUUCGGGCAAAGUUCGUGAUAUUAUAUGCAAUUAACCUUUAUUUUUAUCAUAUAUUAUUCUAAUUUCAUUUUUCUUCAAUUUUCUCAGUCUAACUAAGAUUUUCUCACGCUGACUAAAAAUUCUCUCUUUAGCUUAUAAGAUCAAUUACCCAAACACUUUGACCACUUAUAAGCUCUUAAUCGAAGGGCGUCAUCUAUUCGGGUCGGGGCCGANGACCAUCAAGCUUAGCCUUGAGUUGGACUGCGGUCCCGCGAAGCUGGUAUCCUCAGACCGCCUAAGAGACUUUCUGACUGUCGAAGGAUGGAAGUUCACUUUUUAUUGACCAGAAAUUUCAUAAGAGAAGAAAGAUCGUAGCGUAGCUGUCUGUAUAAUAGAAGAGUAGCGAAGCAGAAAUUCUCGUAGAAAAGAUAAGAGAAAAGUUUGCUCCUUAUUCUAGGGAGGGUCGCGGUUUGAGUUGGGUUCGAGUCCCAUAGCCCCUGAUGUGGCUAAGCCUCGAUUAGACAAAAUGAAAAUUUUAUUUAUCGUUACGACUGAUCGAGUGGUAGAACUACAUCUUAUAAACUUUUGAAAUAUUUUAUAAACUCGAUUUUAGAAACAUUUUAUAAGCUCUAAAAACUCAUAAAUUUUUUAAAAUAAACUUAACUAAACACCCUCUAAAUUAUACUUAAAGACUAAUUCAAAAAGCUUAGGUCGAUCACUCCAAUGAUAGUAUGAUUCAAAUAAAACGGGAAAUCAAAAUAUCAAAGCCAUAAAUCCAAAUAAAGGCAAACGUUGAAAGUGGGGCAAAUAGUUGCCAAAUUUCAUAAAUGGCAAGUACUAUGUUUUAAAGAAAACCCCAAAAUUAAUAAAAAGUAGAGUUAAUAUAAUUUUUUAGAUACAAUAUACUUCAUUGGUCCUAGAAAAAAUUAAUAAUUUUUGCCAUUUGAAUACAUCCACAAAAAUUAGUCUAUUUUCAUUUAUAAACACUAUCUUAUAACAUAUCAUAUUUUCAGUAUUGGAUUAAUCAGGAUAUAAAUUAUCCUGAUAAUUUAGUGUGGAUUAGUCAUGAUUUCUAAUCUCAGAUGAGUGUUUGAUAUCAUUGGUAAUUAAUCCCAAAAAGUGUUUGGUAUCCAUUGAAAUAGGUUGGAUUAACAUAUCAAAUACCUAAAUUAGUAGCCUAUGGAAGGGGUGAAAUAAUUAGUGUGAGUUAAUCCCAUGGGAGAGGUGGGAUAAUUAGUGUGGGUUAAUCCCACAAAAUAAGCUAGGGUCUUAGGAUAAACCUGGAGUUGACCAUAUUAAUAACACAUAAUAUCAAACACUACAUAAAUCCAUAUUAAUUUAACUUAUCCUGCUUUUAAACCCAUAUCAAACAUGCCCUUAAUAUAUCAACUUAUUUAUCUAUCUUAGCACAUGAUGACCUCUUCCUCCACUUACAUAUAAUUAAUUAAUCACUACUGACGAUGUCACUCAAAGUGUAAUCGUUUCUCCACUCACAAUACACUCAACAAUUUUUAUAAAAACUCGUAUCAUUUUCUUCUAAAACUAUUUUUGAAUAUGAAAUGAAUACUUAUUAUAUCAUAAUUUUAUAUACUUCUUUUAUCCAAUUAAAGAUGACCCGUUUUCCAUUUUGGAUUGUACCAUUAAAGAUGAUUCAUUUUCAUAAAGAUAAUAUUUAACUCUGGAAAAAUUAUGGAUCUUACCACUUUUAUCAAAUUUACACAUUCUAUUUAAUUUUCGUGCCAAAAAGAAGUGACUCGUGUUUAGUGGGAUGAAUAGAUAUUAACAAAUAAAUUAAAUAAUAAUUAAAUUAGUAUAAAUAAAAUUAAAUAUUUAAAUAAAUAAAAAUAUAAUUCACACGAUAUUAAAUUAAUACCUUUUUAUAAAAAGGAGUUUUGAACUAUUGAUAACUCAAAUUUAGCGCAUGUGCUUAGGCCUCUUACCAACGAAUGUAGAGUUUGUAUUUAGAAAUAAAGACAAACGUUCAAAAGUGGAUGAAAAUAAUAAUUAAGAAAAGAGUGGUAGAGAAAGGUCCCAUGAAUAAGAGAGAGGAAGAAGUGGUGAAACAUUUGCGAAGUUUGUUAGAAGAAUGUGGCACGCGGCUAGGAAGCACGCACAUGCUUGAGACGCAAGGUUAUUUCCCUGCAGAUGACUCACCCCUUACAUCACGUGCUUCCCCUUACGUCACCCCUCACCCAAUUCCUCCCCACUAUAUUAAUCGCCCCCCACCGCCUCAUUUCACAAUUUCCACCUUCACUCCUCUCUCUCUCUCUCUCCAUCGUCUUCUCUCUCUCAAUUCACACUCACUUCUCCAAAUUAAAUAUUAAUAUCAACUAAAAUGGGAGGUUGUAUAUCGUCGGGCUCCGAUCACUCUAUCCAUCAGAAGCCGUGCGCCACGGUGAUCUCCGUCGGCGGAGAGCUGCGCCGGUAUCCUCUCCCGGUCACGGUGUCGCAGGUGAUUCAGUUCGAGGCGUCGGCCCCGGACUCCGUCUUCCUUUGCGACUCCGACCGGCUGUACUUCGACGACUACAUACCGCGCCUCGACGCGGUGGAGGAGCUGGAGCCUGAUCAGAUCUACUUCGUGAUGCCGGCUUCGAGGCUCCAGCAGCGCCUAGCCGCCUCCGACAUGGCGGCGUUGGCCGUCAAGGCCAGCGUCGCGUUCAACGACUUCAACCCGCGGCGGAGCCGGAAAUCUCGGAUCUCGCCCGUUUUGGUGGCGGAGGAGGAUCCGCAGUCGACUCAUCAGAUCAAAAUCAACAGCAAUUCGUACGUUCACGCCAAAAAUGCGAGGAAGGCGUCGUCGGGCGGCGUUUCGAGAUCCAGCUCCGUGAGGAAGCUGCAUAAAUAUUCUUCGCGGCGAGCGAAAUUGGCGGUUCGAUCUUUCAGGAUUAGGCUCACCACGAUUAACGAAGGUUCCGUGCUCCUAAAUUAAUUAAUUAAUUUGUGGAGGGUUGAUUCAUUUCUUCCGCGGAGGGAAAUCCGCUGUAAAUAAUUUUGAGUCCUUUUCUGAAGCUGUCGAUCCCCAUUUGGAACUGGAAAUUCCAUAGAUAGUUCAUCAAGUCGAGCUCCUAGAGAGUUUUUAUUAGGUUUUUUUUUUGGUUAGAUCGAAAUCAACAAAUUGGGGAAUUGGAGUUGAGGCUGUCAUUUGAAGAACAAAACAGAGGUUGAAAAAUGAAUGCAUAUUCUCGCUGUCGAUGGGCAGGUUUAGAGACAAAAUCAUCAUGUAUUGAUACGUUUGCAGACACGAUCAUCUGUCAUUGUGUAUUAAAUAAUACGUUCAUGUUCAUAAUCAUAUGCAAAUUAUCAUUCUAAAUAUAUCGUGUCUCUCGUUCUCUUUUUUUGUUGAUACAUAAUUAUUAAAUAUUCAUGUUAAAGAAGAUAUCUAAUACUGGUUUUUAAACCCCUUCAAAAAAAAAAAUACUGGUUUUUAAAUAGUAGUAGUAAUAUUUUAUUUUUCGUGGACGCGCGCGCUUCAACACGCAUGGAUAUUUGAAGGAGUAACUUUAUCAUUAUUGUUAGGAGUGGUGAAUGCUUUAAAAAAGAAAAAGAAAGGAGUGAGUACAUGUGACCGUGCAUAAUUAAUUUCUUCCACACAAAUGUCAAAUUCAAAUAUUCAAAUUGCAAUGCGAUUUGCAUAUAAUAAAUUGCUUAUGGUAAUUAAAAAAAAUCGUAAAUAUGCGACCGUUGAUGCGGUGUGGAGUAUGCUUCAAAACUUCGCUAGCUAACUGGCGCAAAUCUUUGGUGUUAUGAAGAUGUAUGUUAAAUUUAUGAAUGUUUUUUUUAGACUUAAAUUUAUGACUGUUUUGGAUGGAUUUUGAUUCAAAACAUAAAUUAUAAAUGGCGAAAAUUUAAUUUUUAUAAAUUUAUUAUUUUUCAUAACGAAUGCGUUAUAUUUCAUAGUGAAUUCAUAUAUUAUCAUAAUAAUGAAUACAUUUAUUUCUAGCGCACCAUAUUAAUAUUUUAUUCAUAAAUUUGAUAUGUAUAAUGAGAAUAUUAUGUUACAUAUUUUACGUGAGUGUCGCUCGUGUUUAUACUCAUUAGUGUUUUUUUUAUUUUUUAUAUAUUUAUUUAUAUUAUAAUACUUCAUAAAUUAUCAUUAAAAUUAAUAAUUUUAUAAAACAUAUAAAAAUAAAAGCUCAGUUUGUGUUGUUUAAUUAAUAAUUUGAAGUUAAAUGGAAAAUGAAUAAAUCAAAUUUUGACUUUUAUGUGAUUUAUAAGAUUAAUAAUCUCAAUAAUAAUUAAUAAAGUAUUAUAGUUGAAAUGUAUAAAAUUGAAAAGAUAACGCUAAUGUGGGUACAUUAACAAAUAUGAAUGAUGUUCAGAUAAAACAUGUAGCAUAAUAUUUUUAUGGUAUAAUAACCAUUUUUUUUUCUAGAUGAAUAUUAAUUAAGGGUGUAUUUUCUUGUAUUGUAAAUUUAUCAUAAGACAAAGGGAUGAAAAUAAUUUCUUCAUUUAAAUCUAUAAUUUCUUUUCCAUCAAUUUCCACAAAAAAUAAUCUCACCCUUUCUCAUUUCUUCUUUUUUCACUUCAAAGAGUGAUAAUAUUACUCCGUAUUACAUAAAAAAUGUAUGGAUAAUAUUAUAACUAUGAAAAUAAGGAAUAAUAACUGGUGAAAUUAUCUUUUUGUAGAAAAAAAAGAAAAAGCUUGAAAAGUUUUUUUUUAUCCCAUGUAUUCUCCUGAUAAAUUUACGACUAAGAGUAUGUUCUCUUUGGUUGAUAAAUUUAUCAUGAGAAAAUGAGUAAUAACAAAAAUAUUCCCCUUUAAAUGUCUUCUUCUUUUCCUUCAUUUUAUACAAAAGAUAAUUUCAUCAUUUCUCAAUCGUACUUUUCGCUCCAAGAUGUGAUAAUAUUAUUCCUCUAUUUCUUUUAUGUGAUAUAAUUAUUCUUCUUUGAAAUGAAAAGGAUGAAUGAGAAAUUGUGAAAUUAUCUUUUAUAGAAAAUGAGGGGGAUAAAAGAGAGAUCUUAAGGAAAUUUUUUUUGUUAUCUCCUUUUCUCUCACGAUAAAUUUAUCAAUCAAAGAUAGCAUGCUCAGAAGAAAAACAGUCUAAGUGAAAACAUUUUUAAUGCGAGAAUCCAGUGUAAGUAUGAAAGUUUAGUUGAAUAAACUUAUUUCGUAAAUAAUUUGUAAUCCCUUGUGAUUAUCACGUAUUGCAUACUAAAUAGUAUAAUUUUGUUCAGGGAGCAAAAGGUCAAGAUUGGAGUUGGACUACCUAAAAUGUUCAUGUUGAUAUUGAUUGGUAUCUUGACUCGUAUGAUAAUUAUUUUACAUAAACUUGUUUAAACCAAUUUCUUUAUAAAGUUCCGCAGCCUCUAUUACAAAAAUAUACUUGUAUAUUUACAUGAUUUGAUUGCAAAAUCAUUUUUUUUUUAUCGUUAGUUUUGUUAUGGCAGUCAGUCCUUUGACUUUUGUAUACAAAGUACUCCCUUCGUUCACGUAUAGCAUCCAAAAUCCAAUUAAACUGUUAAUAAANAAAAAGGGAAAUGAGUACUCUUUUCGUGGACGGACGAAAAAGAAAAUAUGGAUACUCAUUUCGUGGACGGAGGGAGUAAUAAACUUCAUUAAAAUAGCAUCCAAAAUCCAAUUAAACUGUUAUAAACCUAAACUUUUCAAUUCAACUUUUUCACUUCUGAAGAUAUGUGUGGGUCCCGUAAAACACAGACAGUGACAAGUGAAAAGGAUGGAGAUCCAAAUACGUGGGCGGUGACGUUGCUAUCCAAGUCAAAUUGACCAUGUAUGGUAUUCUUCCAUUUAAUUUAAUUUAUUUUGGUCAUAUAUAUACAUGGAAAAGUAGCAUUAUUGAAAUUUGAUACUACGUGCUACGAAUUUUCAUUUCUUUUUUACCAUAAUGAUCGUACUAAAACAUUUAAAUAUUGAUUUGCAUCUAUAAUUAAUCGUAUUAUGGUUAUAAAUACUCUUUCCGUCCCAAAUAUAUAAACACAUUGAAAAUUACAUAAGAAUUAAGAAAAUUUUCAAAAAAAAAAAAACUCUAACAAACAAACUUCCUAUGCCUAUUAUUAUUAUUAUAUGAUAAUGAAUUAGUGGUAGAGUAAAUCAGUUGUUAGAAAUAAGUUAAAAAAAUAUUAUGUUUAUGUAAAUCAGUUUAUAUAAUUAAGAAAAAAACGAGUUUAUAUAUUAGAGCAAAUAGAGUAUUUACUUAUAUAAUCAAACAUAUUUUUGGUGUGAGAAUUAAUAUUGUUGGAUAAUAGCAUUAAUUGAUACAAUCAUUUUGCAAGAGGACAUCAAUUUCUAGUCUUAUACUAGUAGGGAAUAACAGUAUCAAAGCAAGUUUGACUACUCAUUUCGUGUAGUUUGUGAAAGAUUAUGAAAUUUUGUGACUAAAAAUCAUGAAAUUAAAUUUUAUUGAAUUUUUUUUAAAUAAAAUAAAAUCAAUUGUUAAACGCAUGCAUCGCACACACCGUCAAUUUC